rnacentral:lncRNA from 1 species
UUUCCUGAGGUUGAACCCUCCAACUUUCUCCAGCAGCAUUGAGCCCAUUGUGGCAGAUGAUUGGCUCCGCAAGAUGGAGCGUGAACUUAUUACUGCUGGUUGUACUGAAGCUGAGAAGGUGCGCUUUGUCGCGCAUCAACUUGAAGGCCCUGCAGCUGCAUGGUGGGAGAACUACACCACCACAUACCCCAUUGCUGGAGUCACUUGGGAGCAGUUCAAGCAAGCCUUCCGUACCGCACAUGUCUCAGCUGGUGCAAUGAGUCUGAAGAAGCGUGAGUUUCGCAACUUACGCCAGGGAAAUCGCUCUGUGGCUCAGUAUGUCGAUGAAUUCAGCAUGCUCGCCCGUAAUGCACCUGGAGAUGUGGCCGAUGAUGCGGCCAAGCAGGAAAAAAUUCUUGGAAGGACUCAAUGAUGAGCUGAGCAUUCAGCUGACUGUUGCCACGUUCAACAACUACCAGGAGAUGGUAGAUAAGGCCCUCAUCUUGGAGGGGAAACACCAGCAGAUGGAGAACCGCAAGCGGAAUUAUGGGAAUGGAAAGUUCAACUCUGGCACUCAGGAGAAGCCUCGCUACACCCCCUAUUCAGGGAAUACCGGGACUGGAUCCAGUAAGUUUGGAGGACACGUCCAGCACAACCACCCAGUGCACAACCAUGGAGGAAAUGGGAACCACCGCAACAACAGCAACUUCAAGAAUGGCGGUACUGGCACUCGGCAGCAUUCAGCUCUAGCGCAGAAGGAUCUGAAUCACAUCACCUGCUUCAAGUGUCAGAAGACAGGACACUAUGCCACUGAAUGUCCCCAGAACAAGCAAGGAAAUGGAAACAGCAACGGCAACUCUGCAGCAAGGAAGCCCAAUCCUUUUCCUCGAGCUCAGGUGAAUCACAUUGAUGUUGAAGAGGUCUAUGAUCACCCCGAUAUUGUGGUUGGUAAGUUUUUGCUAAAUUCACGUCCAGUAUUGGUACUUUUUGAUUCUGGUGCAAUGCAUUCAUUCAUAUCAAGGGUAGUUGUGGAAAAGUAUAGUUUGCCAACUCGAACCCUCAGCCAGCCUAUUAAGGUCAGUUCCCCAGGAGGCAUGAUGACAGCCGGGAUAGGAUGCCAUGCUUUGAGUCUCAACAUCGGGAACCAUAAUUUUCCCACCGACCUCAUCGUAUUAGAGUCCCAGGGAUUGGAAGUAAUCCUAGGCAUGGAUUGGUUGGCCAAGCAUGAAGGGAAUAUUGAUUGUGCCCUUAAGUCUAUUUUGCUCACCACCCCCAAGCAGAAGUGGAUUAAGUACGUGUCUCAGCGCCCGACACGUAGUAAACGAGUAAACUCUCUCACGGGAGUAGUCCAGGAGGAAGUACCGAUUGUACAAGAGUACCCAGAUGUAUUUCCGGAGGAAUUGUCGGGCAUGCCACCUGAUAGAGAGAUUGAGUUCUUGAUUGAGCUAUUACCCGGAACAGCCCCGAUAUCCAAGAGACCCUAUCGGAUGCCCGCAAAUGACUUGGUAGAAAUCAAGAAGCAAAUUAAGGAGUUGUUGGACAAAGGGUAUAUUCGCCCAAGUUCUUCGCCUUGGGGAGCCCCAGUGCUCUUGGUUGAAAAGAAGGAUAAGUCCUUGAGAAUGGUUGUCGAUUAUCGUGCAUUGAACGAGGUGACCAUCAAGAACAAGUACCCCUUGCCGAUGAUCAAUGAUCUGUUUGAUCAGUUAGUUGGAGCCCGCAUAUUCUCAAAGAUCGAUCUUCGAUCCGGGUAUCAUCAGUUGAAGAUUCGUGAACAGGAUAUACCCAAGACAGGCUUCACCACUCGGUACGGCUUGUAUGAGUACACGGUCAUCUCAUUUGGACUGACUAAUGCUCCGGCAUAUUUUAUGAAUCUGAUGAACAAGGUAUUUAUGGAAUACUUGGACAAGUUUGUCAUGGUGUUCAUCGAUGACAUACUGAAUUCUCCAAGAACGAAGAGGAACACAAGGAACAUCUGCGUCUAGUUCUGGAGAAACUUCGAGAGCAUAAGCUAUAUGCAAAGUUUAGCAAAUGUGAGUUUUGGUUGAAGGAAGUCAGAUUCCUCGGACAUGUCAUCUCAGGAGAAGGAAUAGCAAUGGACCCUGACAAGGUCGCAGCAGUCACCGAAUGGGUAGCACCCACUUCACUCAAGGAGAUCCGUAGUUUCCUCGGACUUGCCGGAUAUUACCGGAGGUUCAUUGAGAAUUUCUCAAAGAUCGCCAAGCCCAUGACAGAGUUGUUGAAGAAGGAAUCCAAGUAUUUUUGGACUCAGGAAUGUGAAAUCAGUUUUCAAGAGUUGAAGAAACAUCUGGUUACAGCCCAGUGCUGAUAUUGCUGAACAUUCGGAAGGAUUUCCAGGUUUACUGUGACGCUUCUCGUCAAGGACUCGGAGGAGUGCUCAUGCAAGAAGGUAAAGUUGUAGCCUAUGCAUCCAGACAGCUCAGACCCCAUGAGUUGAAUUAUGCCACACAUGAUUUGGAACUAGCAGCCGUAGUGCACGCUCUCAAGACCUGGAGACAUUUCCUGAUCGGAAAUAGUUGUGAUGUUUACACUGAUCACAAGAGCCUGAAAUAUAUCUUCACGCAGAAGGAGUUGAACCUCAGACAGAGGCGAUGGCUAGAGUUGAUCAAGGACUAUGACAUGAGAUUGCAUUGUCACCCAGGCAAGGCAAAUGUUGUAGCCGAUGCGUUGAGCCGCAAGAGUUAUGUGAACACACUCAUAGAAGGAGGGUUACCCCAGGAGUUAGCCAAUGACCUCCCAGAGCUCAAAUUGGAAAUAGUUCCAAGAGGAUUUGUUGCCACACUAGAAAUUCAGUCCACUUUGACAGAAAAGAUCCGCGAGGCACAGAAAUCAGACAAGGAGAUAGCUGAGAUUAAGCAGAAAAUGAAAGACGGGAAGGCUAAAGGUUUUCGUGAGCAUGAACACGGAACUUUAUGGUUUGAGGAUCGCAUUUAUGUGCCCAAUGAUCCCGAACUCGGGAAGUUGAUACUUCAGGAGGCCCAUGAUUCCCCGUACUCGAUACACCCCGGCAACACCAAGAUGUAUCUGGAUCUGAAAGAAAGUUUCUGGUGGACAGGAAUGAAGAAAGACAUUGCCGAGUUCGUAGCAAUAUGCGAUGUUUGUUAGCGAGUAAAAGCCGAGCAUCAGAAGCCAGCAGGUUUGCUCCAAUCUCUAUCGAUACCCGAGUGGAAAUGGGAAAAGCUUGGUAUGGACUUCAUCACAGGAUUACCCAGGACCCAUUCUGGCUAUGAUUCUAUUUGGGUUGUGGUCGAUCGUUUGACCAAGGUAGCUCACUUCAUUCCUGUGAAGACUACUUACACGAGUGCCAAUGUGACGCCCUCGGCUUAAUCGUACGCUAAUCAUACACGCAAAUGCGUACGAUCAAACCCAAGGACUCACGGGGAGAUAUCACAACACAACUCUAGACACAAACAAAAUAACAUCAGCUUCAUAUUACAAGCCAGGGGCCUCGAGGGCUAGAAUACGAAAGCUUGAUAAACACACGAGUCAGCGGAAGCAACAAAUAUCUGAGUACAGACAUAAAACAUGGGGUGCCUUAGAGAAGGCUAGCACAAAAGAUACAACGAUCGAACGAGGCGAGGCCUCCUGCCUGGGAACCUCCUAACUACUCCUAAUCAUCAGCGGCCUCCACGUAGUAGUAGGCACCGUCGGGGUAGCAGUCAUCGGUGGCGGGGACCUCCAUCUCCUGGGCUUCAUCAUCUGGUCGCAGCAAAUGGAUCAAGGGAACAAGGGGGGAGCAAAGCAGCGGUGAGUACUCAUCCAAAGUACUCGCAAGUCUUACAUCAGAACUAAUCUAAUUAUGCACCAGUAUCAAAGAAGGGGGUUAUAUGUGGACUGACUGCAGCAAUGCGAGAGUAGGGAGAGAAGGCCUAGUCCUAUCGAAGACUAGCAUCUUCAGGGUCUUGCAGCAAUAGACGAGAGUAGAACAGGGGGGGUAACACAUUAAUAGUCAUAUUGUUGCAGCACUAAUAAAGUGAGGUCACGCCUAAGGAUCCUCCCUCGACUCCCUGCGAGGAAGCAGUCCCGAGGCAAACUAAUUCCAGUUAAGUAACAAUUGUAGUUGUAUAAGAUCGGGGCACAACUCCAAGUCGUCCUGUAACCGUGGACACGGCUAUCCGAAUAGUUAAUUUUCAUCCCUGCAGGGGUGCACCACAUGUCCCGUCACGCUCGAUAACACUCUGGCCGGACAUACUUUUCUGGGUCCUGCCCGGCCUCGGAAUAUCGACACGUCGCAGCCCCACCUAAGACUAAUCAGAGAGGCCAGCCCGCCGGUCUAAAUCCUAAGCACAAAGGGUUCAUGGGCCCAGUUCCCCUUCACGAUCCUGCACGUGGCGUGGGCGGCCGACGUCAGUCCUAGCAUCCCUUAAUCACAAGCGCGAUGCAUCUCGGGACCACUCGGGCGCGCGCCGCUACACUGCUGGCAUCUGAAAAGCUUUGGCUGAUACCGCGACGCCGAGUACCCAUAAUUCUUCCCGCGUAGCCGGUUAGUGCGAAAAGGUCUCCGACCAACCCAGAUCAAAUACCCAAAUCCAUUAGCAUGUUAAUUAGGCCAACAACACAGGCUCACGGGAAUCCACCCGGCUUACAACUAAUCACCAAUGAUCCCAGUAACAUGGUCGAGUAACUGUGUGGUCGUAACAUCGGGGGGAAUCCGAGGUAUCACCCUCGUUGGAUCCCGAACGAUGUACCCGUCAAGGUGGGCUUAGAGGAAUCACCCUCGGGGGUCCCACACUCGCGGGGUUGCACGACAGAGGCGUCAUCGGGAAUGGUGAAAGAGGAAUCACCCUCGAUAACCACGACCGACUAGCUAUACUAUAGAGAUAUCAUCAGGAGUACUUAGCGAGGUGUCACCCUCGGUACCCGAUAGUAUCCCUAUAGCGUCGUACAACGAAGGGGGGGGGUGAAUGUGCUGUGUCGGGUCUGGCUCGUCGAUCAGAGAUCGAGAUUUGAAAACAAGCGGGGCAACUGAGCUACGGGGUCAGAGGGGAUGACUGCUCCACCUAUACUAAGCAUAUUAAAGGUACAAGACUGAAAGUAGCAAUUCAUCAAAAACAGGCUAUGCAUCAGAUAUAGGAGCUAACUACAACAGUAGCAAAAUACUAAUGCAAGCAGUAGGAAGAAAGACAUAGGCGAUAUAGGAAUGAUCAAGGGGAGUUUGCUUGCCUUGCUGCUCUGCGGCAAAGGACUGAUCGGCAGGGUCGUAGAUGUACCCGGCAGCAGCGUCAGUCUCGGGGUCUACCGGUAAGAAGAGGGGGGAAGAAACAAUAAAUAAUAGCACCGAUGCAACACAAAGCAUGACAUGAAAAGAUGCAGGCUAGACAUGAGCUAACGCAGCAACAUCCGUCAUAGACGGGUCGGAAGAAUAUCUGACGAUAUUUUCCGGGUCUCGGGCUACUACCUGUUAUACUGGAAACGAUAGAAAAGAUCCAAGUUUGCUAUGCUAGGGACGCGUGACAGACGAACGGACCGUGUAUCCGGGUUCGUCUCGCUUUGCUGAUCAACUUUCAUGUACAAAUUAUUUUUAUCAGAGUUACGAUUUAUUUUCUAUUAAUUUUCAAAGUUUUAAUAACUUUUCUAAAAUUAAUGGAUUAUUAUUAAUUCAAAUUAAAAUCAGUGAAUAUUUUCCUCACCUAUCGUCACUCUACCCAGAGUGUAUUACAAAUGGGGUCAAGGGGUUGGGUUGAUCCAAUUAGUUUGACUAGUCAACAGGCUGUAUGGCCCACAUGUCAUGUCACAUGUGUUAAUAAAAGACCCAACUAAUUAAAUCAAGCAAGGGGGUCUCAUAUGCCAUAGACUACUAGCUAAACUAACACUAAUUAACCGCUAAAUUAACCUAAACUAAUUAGGCCUACCAAUUAGGCCGGCCACUAGCGUGCUUGCCAUGUCCAGCACAACACGCACGGGUGCAUAGCAACCAUGGCCAUGGCAAGCAUCAGCAGCAGCUAGUGAUUGAGUAGCAAUAGCAAUAAGCAGGCACCGGCAUGAGUAGCACCGGCAUGAGGAGCAGAGCAACAUCGUCAGCUCAAGGUUUCACAUAGCAGCAGCACUACGCGGGCGCGCGGGACGCAAGAGUCGCGGGCGGCCAAUGCAGGAAGCGCAGAGCAACAACACGUACGCGUACAUUCGGGUGAGCUCGGUGGCGGCAACUACGGCGACGGAUCGAGUGGAAAAAAGGGGGGGAUCGGCAAAGGUGCUCACCCUGGUUCUCGUGGACAAGGUUAGGAGGUCGGGGGAGGCCCGGAGCAGGGCAACGAAGAUGAGGUGGUGGCGUCCGCGGCGGAGAAGAGCUCGAUGGCGAGCACAGAGGCCGUCCCGACUUGAGCUGGUCCUCGGAACGGACGAAUCCGGUAGCGACGGACCUCCCGGACGUGCUCCCUCACGCCAGAGAGACCGUUGGACGCGUCAGCGAGGGCGAGGCAACGGUGACCACCUGAGCUCGUGAGCUCGAAUUCAAGACAAAGAGGUGGGGGAACGAAGGGGGUCGAGGGGGGAUGGUAGAGGGCGAUUUAGGGUUUUCAGGGGAUGUAUUUGUAGGUCCAAGGGGGCUACGUGGUGGCCAUCGAGCCGUGGUGGCCGUGGAUGGCCUCCAUGCCAUGGCCUCUACCUCCUCUGUACGAGAGGUAGGGGAAAGGCCAGGGUGGGCUGGGCCAAAUGCACUGUGCUCACUUAUGGCCGAGUAGCACACUAGAUCUUAUAUAUUUUUCUUUUCUGUAAUAUUUUGCACCCCAUUUCUAUAUUUAGGUUAUGCAGCAAAUGAUUUUUGCUAUAACUGAAACUUCGCACAUAAAUCAAGAACAAUAUUUUGGGAUGGCAGAAAAAGAUUCAAAGUAAUUUUUUAACGUUUAAAUAUUUUUCAAAAUUUUAAACGAUCAAUUUAAUUGCUUCUGUCCGAGUGUUAAAAUUCCCACGAGCAUUUUGGUAGUCCACAUGAUGCUGUUUUCCCUAACAUAAUUACCUAUGGAAAAUUUACAACCAAACCAAGAUUUUUCUUUUACGUUCUGAGGAAAUAAUUCAUUUUAAAUUAUUAUAAACUUAAAAUUUGGAUUUGAUUUUAUUAAGUGACAAUCUAGCUUAGUUAAACAUGAUGACCUCGCAUCAUUAGGGUGUCUUUACUGUAGCCUAACUACAUUGCUUAGUGUAGCUUAAUCCGGGGAUGUCACAGCCAAGCUCGCCAAGAUAUAUAUGACCAGGAUCGUAUGUCUGCACGGAGUACCGAAGAGCAUUGUGUCAGAUAGAGGGACUCAGUUCACAUCAAAAUUUUGGCACCAACUGCAUGAAACCUUGGGAACGAGAUUGGAGUUCAGUACAGCUUUUCACCCACAGACAGAUGGACAGACCGAGAGAGUCAAUCAGAUUCUGGAGGACAUGUUGAGAGCUUGCGCACUAGACUAUGGGUCUAGUUGGGAUGACAAUUUACCUUAUGCCGAGUUCUCAUACAACAACAGCUACCAGACCAGUCUGAAGAUGGCCCCUUUCGAAGCUCUAUACGGAAGGAGGUGCAGAACACCGUUGAUGUGGGAUGGAGUUGGAGACCGACAACUUUUUGGUCCCGACCUUAUCCGAGAUUCUGAAGAGAAGGUCAAGCUAAUUCGUGACCGACUCAAGAUAGCUCAGUCUAGGCAGAAAAGUUAUGCCGACAGCAAACGCAAGGAAGUAACAUACGAAGUGGGAGAUCGAGCAUAUCUUCGGGUGUCUCCACUUCGAGGAAUCAAGAGAUUUUGUGUGAAAGGAAAGUUAGCACCCCGAUUCAUUGGCCCCUACAAAAUUCUUGAGCGUAGAGGCGAAGUUGCAUAUAAACUAGAACUGCCGGCAGGAUUGUCCGGGGUUCAUGAUGUCUUCCAUGUUUCCCAGUUGAAGAAAUGCCACGCUGAGAUGGCCGAUGUUCCGUUGAGAGAUACAGUGCCCCUAGAGGCCAUACAGCUUGACAGUGAUCUGACGUAUGAGGAGAAACCCAUCAGGAUUCUCGAGACUGCCAACAGAGUUACCCGCAGCAAGAUCAUCAAGUUCUGCAAGGUGUUGUGGAGCCACCACACCGAGGAAGAAGCCACCUGGGAACGGGAAGAGAAUCUUCGUCGAGACCACCCGCACCUAUUUUCUAACCAACCCGAAUCUCGAGGGCGAGAUUCAUCUUAAGGUGGGUAGGUUUGUAACAUCCCAAUUUUCCUAAUUGGGGAUGUUUUACAUUGUAGCUAAGCAUCUAUGCAUAUUGAUUGAAAUAAAGUUGCAUUUGAAUUCUUUCGACUUUUGCUUUUGCAUUUCUAUUUUUCUUCACACGAGAAAUGCCGGGAAACGAUCUCUUGCACGCAAGAGAGAGCGGAGGAAAAUGACCCUCCAAAAAUGUGAGGCAUCUCUGAAAUAUUUCGAGCCAAGAAAGCCAAGGUUUUAUCGCGAAAAUAUUUGCAAAAAGAAAAUAAAGCAUUUAGGGGAUUUUCUGAAAAAACAUUUUUAAAAAGUUUUUAUUUUUGCCUUGGCAAAUGUUAAUCGCGUAGAGGAUAUUUUCCUGAAAUUUUUGGUAUAUAAUACCCUAUAUUAAUUAUUUUUGUUCGUUGCAUUUUUAUUUGUUUUAGUUUCUGUUUCUGAAAAAGACUAAAAAUAGGAAACGUUUUUUUUAAGGAAACCGCCGCUGGCGGCAUUUAAGAGUUGGGCCGAAAUCCCACAGUAGCCGGGAUCCGAGAUCCUUUCGGAUCGGCCGACCGCCCCGAGCUCGCCCCAGCCCCCUCUCCCUGCCCGUGGGCCCCAGCGCCCGAUCUCUUCCCCCCUCGGUCGCCUUCCUUCUCUCCCCGCAGGCCCCUUCCUUCCAUGGCAGGAGCUACUGCCACGCCGAGACCCACUCGGAUCUCCCUGCCCCUUCCAUCCCGAGGCCCCCUCUCCCCCUAUAAAUACCCCACCGCACCGCCACACCCCAUUCCCCACCUCGCCCCGCCGUCCCGCCGCCCCCAAGUCACCCUGCUGCACCUGUCUCUUAUACACAUCUCCGAGCCCACGAGACGUCGGCUCNNNNNNNNNNNNNNNNNNNNNNNNNNNNNNNNNNNNNNNNNNNNNNNNNNNNNNNNNNNNNNNNNNNNNNNNNNNNNNNNNNNNNNNNNNNNNNNNNNNNNNNNNNNNNNNNNNNNNNNNNNNNNNNNNNNNNNNNNNNNNNNNNNNNNNNNNNNNNNNNNNNNNNNNNNNNNNNNNNNNNNNNNNNNNNNNNNNNNNNNNNNNNNNNNNNNNNNNNNNNNNNNNNNNNNNNNNNNNNNUUGAAAGACCAUGUUUUGAUCAUCCGGUCUUCAAACACCUUGAAGUGCGAGGACAUACACGGAGGCGAUCAAAUCUUGUGGGGAACGUGUGCAAAACUCUGCAGAGUGCCCAACCUAAUCGAUUAGCCGUGUCCACGGUCAUGGACAACUUGAGCCGAAGGCAUUGAAAUUCCCCUGAACUCUCGACACAACUUAAUAAUUAUGUGGGUGUUAACAACAACUCGGGUACGAGUAUUGGUUGGCGGAAUCAUCUCGUUAACAACAAACAAUGUAGUAAUAUUUUGCUUUCCAGCCCCUCUUGUUGUAGGAUAAAAUUGGCUUUAUGCAAAACUUACAGCCCCACCUGCCAAAUAUGCAUGUAGAGAUAGUUGAUUAUUAUUUUACCCCUCUCUUUGAUGACUUGCCGGCAUAUUCCAUAUGCUGACCUACACGGAUGCAACGUAUCAUGUUGCAGAGUACUUUUCUGACCAGGAGUGAGGCUACGAUCUACGCUCAGCGAUAUGCCCUGGAGUCGGAUGGACUCGUCUAUCUGAUGCUUCCGCUAGUCUUCGUUAGAUAUCUCAUGAGUUGGCCUUCAGCCACUUUAUUGUAAUCCAUUAUUGUAAUAAAGUACUUGUUAUGAGAUUUCGAUUAAUAAAGCUGUGUGAUUGAACUCUUGAUAUAUACAUUGAUGUACUGAGUGUGUACCAGCAUGAUCUUGGGAUGGUACGGAAACACCAGAGGCUUGACUCGUCUUGAGUCGGGUCGCUACAGAUAGGUACCCAAAGAUGAUACAAAAACCUCCAUCUUCAUGUGCAUUGAGUAGAAAGAGAAGUUUUGAUUCCUCUCAACUAGUUUUGAGACGUUGAUUUGGUAAUAUUAAGAGUUAUGUUAGUAGGGUGUUGUGAAUCUAGAAAUACUUGUGUUGAAGUUAGUGAUUCCCGUAACAUGCACGUAUGGUGAACCGCUAUGUUAGGAAGUCGGAGCAUAAUUGAUCUAUUGAUUGUCAACCUUUGUGUUGUGGUCGGGAUCGCACGAUGGUUAACACCUACCAACCCUUCCCCUAGGAGUAUGCGUUUAGCACUUUGUUUCGAUUACUAAUAAAAACUUUCGCAACAAGUAUGUGAGUUCUUCAUGACUAAUGUGAGUCCAUGGUGUAGAUGCACUUUCACCUUCCACCAUUGCUAGCCUCUCUAGUACCGCACAACUUUCGCCGGUGCACAAACCCACCAUUUUCCUUCCUCAAAAAAGCCACCAUACCUACCUACUAUGGCAUUUUCAUAGCCAUUCCGAGAUAUAUUGCCAGGCAACUCCCACCGUUCCGUCUCAUGACUUGUGCCGUCACUCUCAUAUUGCCAUUGCAUGAUCGUAAGAUAGCUAGCGAGAUGUUUCAACGUCAUACGCCAAGCUAGAUCGUUGCACAUCCAGGUACACUGCCGGAGGCAUUUUCCUAAAAAGUCAUCAUCGUUCUAAGCUUUGAGCUGUGAGUAAAUAAAAGUGUGAUGAUCGUCAUUAUUAGAGCAUUGUCCCAUGUGAGGAAAUAAAAAAAAGAGGCCAAAGUUGGCCACAAAAAAAAGAGAUAUGGAAAGAGGCCAAAGAGCCCAAAAAAAGAGAGAAAAAGAGAGAAGGGACAAUGCUACUAUCUUUUUCCACACUUGUGCUUCAUAAAAGCACCAUGUUCUUCAUGAUUGAGAGCUUCUUGCUUUGUCACCACCAUAUGCUAGUGGGAAUCUUUAUUAUAUAACUUGGCUUGUAUAUUCCAAUGAUGGGCUUCCUCAAAUUGCCCUAGGUCUUCGUGAGCAAGGAAGUUGGAUGCACACCCACUAGUUCUCCUUUUGAGCUUUCACAUACUUAUAGCUCUAGUGCAUCAUUUGUAUGGCAAUCCCUACUCAUUCACAUUGAUAUCUAUUAAUGGGCAUCUCCAUUGCCCUUUGAUACGCCGAGUCAAUGUGACCAUCUCCUCCUUUUUUGUCUCACAACCACCACCACACUCUAUUCCACCUAUAGUGAUAUAUCCAUGGCUCACGCUCAUGUAUUGCAUGAUAGUUGAAAAAGGUUUGAGAAAGUAAGAGUGCGAAAACAGUUACUUGGCCAAUACCGGGGUUCUGCAUGAUUUACAUUAGUUGUGUGAGGAUGAUGGAGCAUAGCCGGACUAUAUAAUUUUGUAGGCAUAACUUUCUUUGGCCUGGUUAUUUCAAAAGUUCAUGAUUACCUUGCUAGUUUGUUUGAAGUAUUAUUGUUUUCAUGUCAAUAGCAAACUAUUGUUUUGAAUCUUACGGAUCUGAACAUUCAUGUCACAUGAAAGAAGUUACAAAGGACAACUAUGCUAGGUAGCAUUCCACAUCAAAAAUUCAGUCUUUAUCACUUCCCUGCUCGAGGAUGAGCAGGAGUUAAGCUUGGGGAUGCUUGAUACGUCUCCAACGUAUCUAUAAUUUUUGAUGGUUUCAUGCUAUUAUCUUGUCAAACUUUGGAUGUUUUGUACGCCUUUUAUAUCUUUUUUGGGACCAACUUACUAACUCAGCGCCAAGUGCCCGUUCCUAUUUUUUUCUGUGUUUUUGACCCUUUUCAGAGGAGGAUUUUAAACAGAGUCCAAACGGAAUAAAACUUCUGAAAAGAUUUUUUCCGAAACAGAAGACGAUCGGGAGACUUGAGAACCAAGGCAGAGGGUCACCAGGGACCCCACAAGCCUUCAUGGCGUGGCCAGGGGGGCCCGCUCCUCCCAGGCUUGUGGGGUCCCUGGGCCUCCCCUGCCCUAGGUCUUUUGCCUAUAUAUUCCCUAAAAUACAAGAAAANAAAAAUUAGGAGAUCCACGAAAAUACUUUUCCGCCGCCGCAAGCUUCUGUCUCUGCAAGAUCCCAUCAUGGGCACAUUCUGGUGCCCUGCCGGAGGGGGAUUCGAAUACGGAGGGCUUCUUCAUCAACACCAUGACCUCUCCCAUGAUGCGUGAGUAGUUCACCAUAGACCUACGGGUCCAUAGCUAGUAGCUAGAUGGCUUGUUCUCUCUCUUGGAUCUUCAAUACAAAGUUCUACAUGAUCUUCAUGGAGAUCUAUUCGAUGUAAUCUUCUUUUGCGGUGUGUUUGUCGAGAUCCGAUGAAUUGUGGAUUUAUGAUCAGAUUAUCUAUGAAUCUUAUUUGAGUUUCUUCUGAUCUCUUAUAUGCAUGAUUUCAUAUCUUGUAAUUCUCUUCGAGUUGUGGGUUUUCUUUGGCCAGCUUGAUCUAUGAUUCUUGCAAUGGGAGAAGUGCUUGGUUUUGGGUUCAUACCAUGCGGUGACCUCACCCAGUGACAGAAGGGGUAGCGAGGCACCCAUUGUGUUGUUGCCAUCAAGGGUAAAAAGAUGGGGUUUUCAUCAUUGGUUUGAGUUUAUCCCUCUACAUCNACCCGAGUCGCCGCCGCCGUCAAGCCCUCGCCGGAGCAGAGCAACGCCGGUGAGCACCCCACCCCUCCUCCACCGUUAGAUCAAGAACGUACGCGCUAGAUUAGAAGUAGGUACCCCUUCGGUUUUAGUUAAAAAAACCCGAACGGUUUUUUGCCCCACUUAGUUUUUAGCUGUAGAUUUUCUUAAGUAUCGGCCGUUUGCUCUUUAGACCCGCAGCACACACCCCGCAGCCAAUCUGUGAGCGCCACGUGUACCCCCUGUCUGUUAGCAUCUGUUUUUUUUUUAGUUCCAAAAAUAGAAAAGUUUCAAUUUUGUUUUGAGCAUAGUUUUUGAUCCCGAAGUCCAAUGAGGUUGAUUCGUUUUCUAGUAGAUCACAAUUUUUCUGUAGUUUCUAAAAACAUAUAAUUUGUAUAUGUUUGAAAUAUUGAAAUUUGAAUUAGAUCAGAUUUAGUUUAAACCUUGUUUUGCUUAUUCCAGGAGUUUAAAAAAAGAUUUUGAGUUGAUUCUUUUUGCUACUGCUUCCUAGUGAUUAUAUCUUACUGUGGUAUAAGUUUCAAUGUUUUUUAUUAUGUAUACUUGGGUGUUUAACAGAAACAAGUUUUUGCCAUAAUGACGUAUAGUAAAUUCUUUCACUUAGGCCAUAGCAACUUUUACUUGUGAUGUUAAUUUUUACUUGUUGUUUGAUUGUCGUGCUUAUGGUGUGUAUUUUGUUUGUAUAGGUAGAUCACCCGGAGUGCGAAGCUUGUUACUUAGAAGCGCUCGACCAAGACAACUAUCAUCAAGGCAAGUCAUUUUGAUCAUACUAUUCCCUAUGUUUUUCGAUGCAUGGUAGUUUCACCUUUCUUNNNNNNNNNNNNNNNNNNNNNNNNNNNNNNNNNNNNNNNNNNNNNNNNNNNNNNNNNNNNNNNNNNNNNNNNNNNNNNNNNNNNNNNNNNNNNNNNNNNNNNNNNNNNNNNNNNNNNNNNNNNNNNNNNNNNNNNNNNNNNNNNNNNNNNNNNNNNNNNNNNNNNNNNNNNNNNNNNNNNNNNNNNNNNNNNNNNNNNNNNNNNNNNNNNNNNNNNNNNNNNNNNNNNNNNNNNNNNNNNNNNNNNNNNNNNNNNNNNNNNNNNNNNNNNNNNNNNNNNNNNNNNNNNNNNNNNNNNNNNNNNNNNNNNNNNNNNNNNNNNNNNNNNNNNNNNNNNNNNNNNNNNNNNNNNNNNNNNNNNNNNNNNNNNNNNNNNNNNNNNNNNNNNNNNNNNNNNNNNNNNNNNNNNNNNNNNNNNNNNNNNNNNNNNNNNNNNNNNNNNNNNNNNNNNNNNNNNNNNNNNNNNNNNNNNNNNNNNNNNNNNNNNNNNNNNNNNNNNNNNNNNNNNNNNNNNNNNNNNNNNNNNNNNNNNNNNNNNNNNNNNNNNNNNNNNNNNNNNNNNNNNNNNNNNNNNNNNNNNNNNNNNNNNNNNNNNNNNNNNNNNNNNNNNNNNNNNNNNNNNNNNNNNNNNNNNNNNNNNNNNNNNNNNNNNNNNNNNNNNNNNNNNNNNNNNNNNNNNNNNNNNNNNNNNNNNNNNNNNNNNNNNNNNNNNNNNNNNNNNNNNNNNNNNNNNNNNNNNNNNNNNNNNNNNNNNNNNNNNNNNNNNNNNNNNNNNNNNNNNNNNNNNNNNNNNNNNNNNNNNNNNNNNNNNNNNNNNNNNNNNNNNNNNNNNNNNNNNNNNNNNNNNNNNNNNNNNNNNNNNNNNNNNNNNNNNNNNNNNNNNNNNNNNNNNNNNNNNNNNNNNNNNNNNNNNNNNNNNNNNNNNNNNNGAAGGAGUUUCUCUCAAAAGAAUUGAGUGGGAGGAAGAUAGAACUUGAUGAGGUGAUAGAACCUCUACUCCCUCUAGAUGGUGGUGCGGGGCAAGGGAAAACCUCUGUCGAGGCAACGCCAGUUGAGGAGGAAGCUAAUGAUGAUGAUCAUGAAGCUUCGAAUCAAGUUACUAUCGAACCUCGCAGGUCGACAAGAUCACGUACUGCUUCUGAGUGGUACGGUAAUCCUGUCUUAUCUAUCAUGUUGUUAGACAACAAUGAACCUGCGAAUUAUGAAGAAGCAACUAUGGUCCUGGAUUCCAACAAAUUGCUGGAGGCCAUGAAGUCCGAGAUAGGAUCUAUGUAUGAAAACAAAGUAUGGACUUUGGAAGUAUUACCUGAAGGUCGCAACGUUAUUCAGAACAAAAGGAUCUUUAAGAAGAAGACGGACGCGGACGGUAAUGUAACUGUUUAUAAAGCUCGACUUGUGGCAAAGGGUUUUUCACAAGUUCAAGGAGUUGACUACUAUGAUAGGUUCUCACCGCAGCGAUGCUUAAGUCCGUCCGAAUCAUGUUAGCAAUAGCUGCAUUUUUCGAUUAUGAAAUAUGGUAGAUGGAUGUCAAAACGGCGUUCCUUAGCGGUUUUCUUAAGGAAGAGUUGUAUAUGAUGCAACCCGAAGGUUUUGUCAAUCCUAAGAAUGCUAACAAAGUGUGCAAGCUCCAGCGAUCCAUUUACGGACUGGUGCAAUCAUCUCGGAGUUGGAAUAAGUGAUACGUCUCCAACGUAUCUAUAAUUUUUUAUGGUUUCAUGUUAUUAUCUUGUCAAACUUUGGAUGUUUUGUAUGCCUUUUAUAUCUUUUUUGGGACAUACUUACUAACUCAGUGCCAAGUGCCAGUUCCUAUUUUUCCGUGUUUUUGACCCUUUUCAGAGGAGGAUUUUAAACACAGACCAAACAGAAUAAAACUUCCGAAAAGAUUUUUUCCGAAACAAAAGACGACCGGGAGACUUGAGAACCAAGGCAAAGGGUCACCAGGGACCCCACAAGCCCUCAUGGCGCGGCCAGGGGGCUCGCGCCUCCCAGGCUUGUGGGCUCCCUGGGUCUCCCCUGCCCUAGGUCUUUCGCCAAUAUAUUCCCUAAAAUCCCAGAAAAAAUUAGGAGAUCCACGAAAAUACUUUUCCGCCGCCGCAAGCUUCUGUCUCUGCAAGAUCCCAUCAUGGGCACAUUCUGGUGCCCUGCCGGAGGGGGAUUCGAAUACGGAGGGCUUCUUCAUCAACACCAUGACCUCUCCCAUGAUGCGUGAGUAGUUCACCAUAGACCUACGGGUCCAUAGCUAGUAGCUAGAUGGCUUGUUCUCUCUCUUGGAUCUUCAAUACAAAGUUCUACAUGAUCUUCAUGGAGAUCUAUUCGAUGUAAUCUUCUUUUGCGGUGUGUUUGUCGAGAUCCGAUGAAUUGUGGAUUUAUGAUCAGAUUAUCUAUGAAUCUUAUUUGAGUUUCUUCUGAUCUCUUAUAUGCAUGAUUUCAUAUCUUGUAAUUCUCUUCGAGUUGUGGGUUUUCUUUGGCCAGCUUGAUCUAUGAUUCUUGCAAUGGGAGAAGUGCUUGGUUUUGGGUUCAUACCAUGCGGUGACCUCACCCAGUGACAGAAGGGGUAGCGAGGCACCCAUUGUGUUGUUGCCAUCAAGGGUAAAAAGAUGGGGUUUUCAUCAUUGGUUUGAGUUUAUCCCUCUACAUCAUGUCAUCUUGCUUAAGGCGUUACUCUGUUCUUCAUGAACUCAAUACACUAGAUGCAUGCUGGAUAGCGGUCGAUGUGUGGAGUAAUAGUACUAGAUGCAGAAAGUAUCGGUCUAAUUGUCUCGGACGUGAUGCCUAUAUGUAUGAUCAUUGCCUUAGAUAUAAUCAGGACUUCGCGCGGUUCUAUCAAUUGCUCGACGGUAAUUUGUUCACACACCGUAAUAUUUGCUAUUUUGAGAGAAGCCUCUAGUGAAUACUAUGGCCCCGGGGUCUACUUCACAUCAUAUUUUCAGCCUUACUCUUUUACUUCGUUGCACUUUCCGCCUUCAGAUCUCACUUUGCAAUCAAUCUUGAAGGGAUUGACAACCCCUUUAUAGCGUUGGGUGCAAGCUCUUUUGUGUUUGCACAGGUACUCUGGACUUGACGUGAUUCUCCUACUUGAUUGAUACCUUGGUUCUCAAACUGAGGGAAAUACUUACUGCUCCUGCGCUGCAUCGUCCUUUCCUCUUCAAAGGAAAAACCAACGCAAGCUCACGAGACGACAGAAGAUUUAUGUCGCCGUAGCAGAAGGAUUUCUGGCGCCGUUGCCGGGGAGGAGGAUCAAUUCAAGAAUAGUCUCCCGUCAACGUGCCAAUAAGCGCUUUGAUGAGGUGAUCAAAGCAUUUGGGUUUAUACAAGUUGUUGGAGAAUGUUGUAUUUACAAGAAAGUGAGUGGGAGCUUUGUAGCGUUUCUAAUAUUAUAUGUGGAUGACAUAUUGAUGAUUGGAAACAAUGUGGAGUUUUUAGAGACCGUAAAAGAUUACUUGAAUAAAUGAUUUUCAAUGAAGGACCUAGGAGAAGUUGCUUACAUAUUAGGCAUUAAGAUCUAUAGGGAUAGAUCGAGACGCCUAAUAGGACUUUCACAAAGCACAUACCUUGAUAAAGUUUUGAAGAAGUUAAAAAUGGAGAAUUCCAAGAAGGGGUUCUUGCGAUUUUUACAAGGUAUAAAGUUGAGUAAGACUCAGUGUCCGGUAACUACGGAAGAUAGAGAAAAGACGAGUACCGUCCCCUAUGCUUCAGCCAUAGGGUCUAUCAUGUAUGCAAUGUUGUGCACUAGGCGGGACGUCAGCCUGGCCAUAAGUAUGGCAGGCAGGUUUCAAAGUAAUCCAGGAGUGGAUCACUGGAAGGCGGUCAAGAAUAUUCUGAAGUAUCUGAAAAGUACUAAGGAAAUGCUUCUCAUUUAUGGAGGUGACGAAGAGCUCGUCGUAAAGGGUUACGUCGAUGCAAGCUUUGACACUAAUCCAGAUGACUCUAAGUCUCAAACCGGAUACGUAUUUAUUCUUAAUGGGGGUGCGGUAAGCUGGUCCAGUUCCAAGCAAAGCUUCAUAGCAGAUUCUACAUGUGAAGCGGAGUACAUGGCUACCUCGAAGGCAACUAAGGAGGGUGUUUGGAUGAAGAAGUUCAUGACAGAUCUUGGAGUGGUGCCGAGCGCACUAAAUCCAAUAACUAUGUUCUCUGACAACACUGGUGCCAUUUCUUUAGCAAAGGAACCAAGGUUUCACAAGAAGACCACCCACAUGAAAUAAUGCUUCAACCUCAUUUGCGACUACGUCGAAGGACGGGACGUAAAUAUUUGCAAAGUGCACACAGAUCUAAAUGUAGUAGAUCCGCUGACUAAACCUCUUCCACAAGUGAAGCAUGAUCAACACCAGAACUGUAUGGGUGUUAGAUUCAUUCCAAUGUAAAUUGCAUGGCGAUGUGAGACUAGAUUAUUUACUCUAGUGCAAGUGGGAGACUAUUGGAAAUAUUCCCUAUAGGCAAUGAAAAAAUAGUUAUUAUUACAUUUCCUGUUUCAAGAUAAUCGUUUAUUAUCCAUGCUAUAAUUGUAUUGAAUGAAAGCAUAGAUACAUGUGUGGAUAUAUAGACAAAACAAUGUCCCUAGUAAGCCUCUAGUUGGCUAGCCAGUUGACCAAGGAUGGUUAAGGUUUUCUGACUAUAUGCAAGUGUUGUCACUUGAUAACUGGAUCACAUCAUUAGGAGAAUGACGUGAUGGACGAAACCGAAACUAUGAACGUAGCAUGUGAUCGUGUCAUUUUGUUGCUAUUGUUUUCUGCGUGUCCAGUAUUCAUUCCUAUGACCAUGAGAUCAUGUAACUCAGUGGCACCAAGGAAUACCUUGUGUGUAUCAAACUUUACAACGUUACUGGGUGAUUAUAAAGGUGCUCUACAGGUAUCUCCGAAGGUGUCCGUUGAGUUAACAUGGAUCAAGACUGGGAUUUGUCACUCCGUGUGAUGGAGAGGUAUCUCGGGGCCCACUCGGUAAUACACCAUCAAAUAUAAGCCUUGCAAGCAAUGUGACUCAAUUGUAAGUCACGGGAUCUUGUAUUAUGGAAUGAGUAAAGAGACUUGCUAGUAACUAGAUUGAAAUAGGUAUGGAGAUACCGACGAUCAAAUCUCGGGCACGUAACAUACCGAAGGACAAAGCGAAUGUUAUACGGGAUUAUAUGAAUCCUCCGCACCGAGGUUCAACUGAUAAGAUCUUCAUAGAAUAUGUAGGAUCUAAUGUGUACAUCUAGGUCCCGCUAUUGGAUAUUGACCGAGGAGUGUCUCGGGUCAUGUCUGGAUAGUUCUCGAACCCGCACGGUCUGCACACUUAAGGUUCGGUGACGUUUUAGUAUAGUUGAGUUAUAUGUGUUGGUGACCGAAGUUUGUUUGGAGUCUCGGACGAGAUCACAGACGUCAUGAGGGUUUCCGGAAUGGUCCAGAAACGAAGAUUGAUAUGUAGGAUGGUUUCAUUUGGUCACCGGAAAGAUUUCGGGCAUUACCGGCAGUGUACCGGGAGUGACAAAUGGGUUCCGGGUAUUCACCGGGAGGGGCCCACCCACCUGGGAGUGAGCCCAGUAGCACUAGGGUGGUGCACCAGCCCUUAGUGGGCUGGUGAGGCCAACCCAAGUAGGCUAUGGCGCCACAAGAAUAAAAAACCAAAGGAAAAGAAAAAAAGGAAAGAGGGAGGUGGGAAGGAAGGAGUGGACUCCUCCUUCCGCAAACCGAAUUGGGGUGGGAGUCCACCUCCUCCUCUCGGCCGGCUCCCUUGGGGCUCCCUUGAGCCCUAAGGCUAGCCCCUCCCCUCCUCCUAUAUAUAUAUUGAUGGUUUUAGGGCUUUUGAGACACAACUUUGCCACAUGCAACUCAAACCUAUACCUCGUAGUUCUUCCUCUAGAUCGGAUUUCUGCGGAGCUCGGGCGGAGCCCUGCAGGAAUAGAUCAUUACCAUCACCGGCGCGCCGUCAUGCUGCCGGAGAACUCAUCUACUUCCCCGUCUCUCUUGCUGGAUCAAGAAGGCGGAUAUCGUCAUCGAGCUGUACGUGUGCUGAACACGGAGGUGCCGUCCGUUCAAUCCUAGAUCGGGACGGAUCGUGGGACGACGAUGAUUUGAAUCACGAAGCUGUACCACUACAUCAACCACGUUUCUUAACGCUUCCCUCUUAGCGAUCUACAAGGGUAUGUGGAUCUGAUCUCCCUCUCGUACAUGAACAUCACCAUGAUAGGUCUUCAUGUGCGUAGGAAAAAAAUUAUUUCCCAUGCAACGUUCCCCAACAGACACUGGAUCUCCUUGACGCAAUCCUUUAACAUGUCUGGAUUUCCUACACGGGAAGCCAUUAACUUGGACUCGGGAGCUUGCCGUUGAGAGGAGGAUGGCAAAUCUAGAGCACCAUAGCUUCGAGAACCCUUUGGCCCGCAGCACUUCGAGCAAGAACGACCAGGAUAACGAGUCAAAAGCAUGGGAGAUGUCCAGCUUCACCAAAAUUCCUUUGGCCUUCUUCUUAUGUAAGUGUUUGGCCACUUGUCGAACCGACAAGAAGUUGUCGUGUAGGUUUCUGUCACGGAUGUAUGCCGAUUUGUUAAUUUGGACAAGUUCGUCCAUCCGCGGGCACAAUCUUGAGGCCAUCAAUUUGGCAAUGAUCUAUGGAAUGCUAUGUAGUAGACUAAUAGGCCAAAAGUCACCUAUUCUACAUGCAUCAGGUUUCUCAGGAAUGAGCGUGAUUAUCGCGUGGUUGAGUCUUCUAGAGCCUCUCCCAUUGCCAAGAUGGAAUUUAUGAAUGGCUGUCAUAAUGUCUCCUUUGAUGAUGUUCCACGUUCUAUGCAAGAACAAACCAAUAAAUCCAUCUGGACCCGGAGCUCGCUCUUCCGACAUGCUCUUAAUGACCGUGAACACCUCCUCCUCCGUGUAGAUAUCAUCAAGCUCAUGAAGGUCCAGCGGUGACAUACCCAGGAAUUCAAGAUCGAUCGAGUGCUCCCGUGCAUGAUAAGUGCCAAGUAGCGCCUUGUAAGCAAUGAAGAAAUCGCCUUCUUUUCCACCUUGGUCCAUGAUGACCGCGUCAUCGAUGUGCAGUGCAGGGAUGAAGUUUCCGACUUUCCGACCAUUAAACACUAGGUGAAACAGCUUAGUAUUGGCGUAUCCUUUAGUAAGCCAUCUAAUGUAUGACCUUUGUCACGCAAUUGUUUGCUCAAGCGAAUCGAAGCUUAGUAUUGGCGUAUCCUUUAGCAAUCUUGAUGUUGACCACAAUCCUCUGCCCCACACUGUAAGAUCAUGCGGAGUUUUCUGCAACAAGAGAUCCAGUCUUAGGAAGGGGUCUAUAAUGUUGGGAUCACAAGUCCAUGCUUCUUGUAUAGCCUUGUCAAAACCCUCAAGUUUAGUCGAGCACAAUUCAAAACGGAAUCAUCUGUGCGGCUAUAUGUGGUCGUCCAGAGCUAGGUGCAGCGGGAAGUGGUCCUACGUGGCCGUGGAUAGUGCUUGCAACACACAAUCUGGGUGGUCCAGCUCCCAGUCUACCGAUACCAACGUCAUGUCAAUUUUCGUGAGCGUGGGCACCUCUCUUUCAUUACUCCAAGUAAAUGCACGUCCAUGCAGAAAGAGCUCCUUAAGGCCAUUGGAAUCCACGAAUCGUCUAAACUUGCUCAUCAUCCUCCUGUCAAGGUUGGUAUUAUUCUUGUAAGUCCCUUGCAAAAUGAGAUUAAAAUUAGAGCCACAACCCUCACUGAGACGCAGGUGCACAUUCUUGAAGAGAUAACGAAGACGUAGUGGUACGCGCACACAAGAUUAGUGCAUCGAUAGGAUCCUUCACGCACUCCUUAAUCAACGAUCUCCACCAUUGUGAAACAAUGAGAAUUUUGAAAAUGCAGUCAGUCGGUGUGUUUGAAAAGACAUGCCCAAUAGUAAAUUUAUUUCGUGUAGUCCACAAAGUCAAGCACAUAGCAGCCAAACCGGGCAUAUUUUGGCCCGUGUGAGACAACAACAAAGGUCGUGGCUCAUCAAAAGAGAGAGGAUCCCAAGAAACCCCAAGCCAUGACCAGGUGCAGCACCAGAACAUAGAAGCAAGGUGACAAUUAUAAACAAUGUGGUUCGAUUCCUCAGCCAAACUACACACAACACAAUGGUGGGAGCCUCAGCCAUUUAGUUUCUUAAUUUGUCCCACUGCUGAAAGCUUCCCAUGAAUUGCUUGACAUAAGAAGAUUUUAACUUUAAGAGGGAUACAAGCAUGCGAGACAUCUUCAAAUUUGUUAGUUGUGUUUCCCUUGAUCAAUUUUGAAUAAGCAGACAUGACCAAAAAAUAGCCUGAAGAAGCGUGGGGUGAGGAUAUCACGUCCUUGGCAUCCAAGAGCAAUGGGAUUAAGGCAGUGAGACGAUGAUUGUCCUGCAAUUCUACAAGCAACAAAGCACGACAAAAACCAAAGUCCCAAUUGCCAUGAAAGAGUUCCGAAAUGGAGAAUCACAAUACGAGAAAAGCACCGGGAAAGAACUAGAUAAAGGACUGUCACUGCACCACCAGUCCAACCAAAAAUGUGUUGAAGCCCCACUUGCCACAAAGAACUAAAGAUGUGAACAUAUGACUAAAUUUAAGCAGAUGGCACUAGAAAUGGGAUCCUCCCAAGCCACGAGCAAAAAGAGUGUCGCGGUUAGGGAAGUAUUUAGCUUUAAUACUAUCGAACAACAACACCCCAGGGUCACAGUGCACAAUCUUCCGCCGUCACUUUAAAAUGAGAUAAAGAUUAACUGAGGUGUUAACAAUGCCCAACCCACCAAGGUCCUUAGGCCUGCACAUAAUGUCCAUUUAAACCGUUGGUAUUUCUUGUUCUUCGCAAAGCUCUAGUAGAAACCACUACAAUGGUUGACAUACCGAUCAUGGGUUCCCUCAUGAAGACGAUAGAAGCCCAUCAAGAGCAUAAGUACAAGGGGUUUCCAUUUCUGUGCCCCUCAUUGCUUACUUGUGCUCAGUUUUGCCCAAGGAGUCUAACUUUGCUCACGUGUGCCCUCCACCAAUCGGCACACUCUCACAAAAGGCCAAUCGGAGCCUUGUUGUUGGGUCAAAGGAGUUGAAUGUUCUCUACUCAGUUACUGACAUGUGGGGCCGUAUAUCUUAGGACAGGGCCGCGUAUGAUAGGUGGGUCAUGGCCUUGACUCUUUCUGAUGAGUGGGACCUGGUCUAGGUGAUCUGUCACUUUCUUUUGCCUAAAAUAUCCCUACCAUGAGCGAGCGUCACAUUCCCCACCCAGCCCCACACCAUCGCCACCACCGUUGUGCCCCCUGGCAGCCCCAUCGCCCACUCCGACCGUCCGCCUGAGCUCCCACAGGGUAGUGAAGUGGUUCUACCGGCACGCAACCCUUCCUCACAUAUGCAUGAACAAAGUGAUUGUUGGUUGACCGGUACAUCUCUAAAAAACCCUAGCAAUUAGGACUCGUUUAUAAGUCGUCUGAACGGGCGAUUGAGUGAUUUUGGAGCCCAUUUUAAUUCUUUGAUUUGUCGAUUUGGUAUUUGAUUGUUGGCUAGCAGGUCUGAGCUCGAAGAGGGCAGGGCGGCUCUGUGAUUUCAAAGGCCAUGGUGCGAACUCCACCAAUGGGCCCAAUAGAGAGAAAAAUCAUAUACGAUACAUGAACAUGUACAAUUGCUAUAAAUUCACAAAAGUAAUCAUUUUUUACUAGAAUAAAAAAAUAGUUAUUGUCCCUGCCUUUGUUCCAAAUCAAGUAUCAUGGAAGUUAUAGGCUACAAAAAAACAUAUAGAAGUAGCAUGCUAACCUCCACUAAUCAUGAGAAACGAGACUUUCGUGCAUUUUUGACGCAAAAUCAUCUAUGAGAGUGUCAAGAUUAAUGCUAUCCAGCAUAUUCUUCUCAAUGCGGCACAUGGCCAGACCAUUCAGUAUUUCUUGAGACAUUGUUGACCUCAAAUAAUUUGUCAGUAGCUUCAGCUUUGAGAAACUCCUUUCUGUUGAUGCGACAAUCACGGGUACGGUCAAAAGGAUACAAUAAGCAAUUGAUACGUUUGGUUAAAAAUCCACAUCUCUAACAAACUCAAAUAUCUGAUCCGCUGAAAUGAAUGUUUUUGGCAAUGUCAUCUGCAAUAAUUAUAGUUCAGAAACGAAAUCAUCUAGAUCAACAUCUACUGACUUACCAUGAGUGCAUUUGUUAACAAUAUUAGUGUAACAUCUUCUUAGAUCAUUAUCACCCAGGGACUUCAAUUCUCUCGAGUUAAACAAUAAGCCAAAUAUGCUCCCAAAUGCAUUGAGUUCCUCAAAUCUAGUAGCGAGGAAAUCAAUUGCAACAUCAAUCAUCACCAAAAAAUAUUUGACUCUAAAUGAUUCCAACUCACUUCUUGUGUUUAUUAAUUCUAAAAUUGUCUUUUUCUGGUAAUACAUCUUUUGAUAGGAAAUAAAGGUUCUACACCCAUGUCAAUUGCAAUAGAACUUACAAAAUCCAAACUAGUUGCAAAGCCUUCAUUUGUGUACUUCUCAAAAUAUGAGAUGGCACCUUCAAUAUGUUUAAGAGUAACAUCAAUGCACACAAAUUUAGAUUGCAACUUCUUGCUCACCAUGUUUACAGUGAACAAAAUGUCAUGCCGAAUGACCAUGCCAAGUAAGAAUUCAAAUUUCUCAAGUGCGGUAGCCAAAGAUUUUGCGUUCCUCUUAGUAUUGGCGUCAUCUGUAGAAGUUGUCUUCAAUUCCAGUAAUGCUUUUCUUAACUCGGGUGCUUGAUAUCUGAUAGCAUGAACACUCUGUAUACGACUCUCCCACCGAGUGUUACACAAAGACUUAAUUGUCACUUUUGGAACAUGAUCAAGUAAUAGCUGCAUCUUUUAGUAGAGCUUGAAAACAAUAUAUAAAUUCCUUGCACAACACCAAAUAAAGUAAUAGCUUUACCACAAUAUUUUGCCAUAUCACUAAGAGUAAGAUUCAGACUAUGACAAGCACAUGUCAUGAACUAUGCUCUUGGAUUAGUUUCAAGUAAUCUUCUUUGUACCCCUUUGUGUUUUCCCUUCAUGUUCGAACCAUUGCCAUACCCUUGCCCGCGAACAUCUUUAACAUCCAAACCAACAAAUUCAAGUGAAUCUAUUAACCCAAUAUAAAGCCCAAGUCCCGAUGUAUCAUCCACCUUCAAGAACUCCAUAAAAACUCCUCUAUUUUGUAGUGGUACUUGACAUGUUUACGCACCUCACAAUUAGAGUCAUUUGUUCUUCAUGGACCGCAUUAGGUGUACAGUCCAAAAUGACAGAUAAAUAUGUUGCAUCUUUAAUCAUCAUCAAGAGAGAACAUUCAACAGUCCAGCCAAGAAGGGAAACAAAGUCAUUUUGAAUAUUAUGGCCAAGAUAAUGAUGAUGAAUUUCCCUAUUCUUAAUGCGCCGAAGAUGCUCUUGCAUUACAGAAUCAAAUUCUGCCAUCAUUUCAAUUACUCCCAAAAAUUUCCAUUGUUAUCUUGAUAUAAUUUCUCAUUCGAUCCUUGAAAAUCCAAACUAUGUUUAGCGAGAAAUUUCACAACAGCAACAAUUCUAAUUAGAACUAGUCUCCAUCAUUCCUUCUCCCUUGCAAUCUCUUGUUGCAAAUCUUUAUCAGUCGUUUCCUUCGUUCUUAGCCUGAGCCUUACCUCAUUCCAAGUAUUCAUGUUAGUGAUAUGCUCAACACUAUUCUCAUGCAAUUUGAGCUUCUAACUAAGAUGUCUCCAAUCCUUCAAUCCCUCGGAUGCUAGCAGACUUCUACUUUUUGCAAAUUUGAACAAUUUGCAACAAAAAAAUAGACUUUAUUCACAUGUUUAGAGUACACUAACCAUAUACGAUCACUGAACUCACCAUUCCUUAACUUUCUUGAGUAGUAAUCAUAUAAAAAAUGCGUGCCACCAAUUUCAUCUUGAGGAAACUCAAGAUUGUAUUCCCUUAUAGGUCCUUUUUCAAUGAGAAUAUCUCUUGAUUUAUUGUCAUGAAUGUUCCAAGUUCUAGGAUCAUAAAUAUCAAAAGAAGAAGCAUGCUCAUCUUCAUUUCCAAGAUUCUCAUGGUCACUAAAAUUUUCAGUGUUUUGAUUGGCAUCAACAUUGGCAUGAUUUUCCUCGCCAUGAUUGUCCUCAACUACAUUCUCACUAUGAUCAGAUUGUUCUUCACCAUCUAUGAUAUAUAGUUGCUCAGAAUUUGUAAAAGAAUUUAAUAUUAUAUAGCUAAAUAGUUAGCUCCGGGAAAUUUAUGUUGAGAAAAAUCCACAUUAUAACCCUCAAUUUUCACCAAAGUCUAAAAACAAACUCGAACUUCAACACCAUCUACUUUAUAACCUCAAACUUUCAAAACCGGAAAAAAUAGACCAUAUCUCCAUGCCAACCGAUUUCAUCCUUGUUUUUGACUAGUUUUAACGUGUCAAUAGCAUUGACAACAACCCUAUCACCCCACCACGUUAGUGAAUUUUCAUGAACAUGUAUUUCAUUAUAAUAUUUUAUCUAUUUGGCAAAACAUUUUGAAACUUUCCUAGAUUAAAUAUCAUGUUUGUGUUCAUUAUUUUAGUUUUCUUCAAAAAUGUAUGGAUACUUUCAUGUUUUUUUGUCAAAUUUUGAUCCAAAAUGGUCCUGCAUAUGUAUUUCAUUCAGUUUUUUUAUUUGUUUGGAAAAAAAUUAGACUUUCGCAAACUGAAUAACAUGGUAGUGUUCAUUUGAGAGAUUGUUUUUCAAAAAAAAUCCUGAAAACAUUCAUUUGUUCGCCAUAUUUUGAGUCGAACGGUCCUAAAUAUAUGUUUUCCUUCUAAUUUGUGUUUGUUUGGGAAAAAUGUUUUGACACUUUCCUAGAUUGAAUAUCAUGGUCGUUGUCACUUUUUGGUGUUCUUUGAAGAACAUUGGAAACUUCCAUUUGUGGGUGAAUUUGGACACUAAAAUGGUCUUGCAUACGUAUUUUCCAAAUAAUAUUUUAUUGUUACUUGGCAAAUUGUGUCAAAACUUUCCUAGAUUUAAUAUCAUUGUAGUGUACAUUUUUAGAAUAUUUUAAAAUAUUUCUGGUCACUUACAUAUUUUGGGUGCCUGAAUGGGUGGGGUGACUAGGAUGCUCACUAGGCUUUUGGUUCAUCAAAACCAGUUAAAACAGAGAUGGAAGUGGUUUUACUAGAGACAAGGCUGAGUUGUGUCCAGUUUUAGAGUUUCAAAUUUUAAAGUAGAUGUUUUUAAAGUUUGGGGUUGUUUCGUAUAUUGUGAUGACAAUUCAGCGUUGUAGCAUGAAUAUCUCUCAUUUAUGUUAGGGAACAUUUAGCUAUGUCACAUUACACCUAUCAAGGAGGAAGGAGUACCCGCCUCUAUAGGAUUGAAAGUAUGUCUAGAGCGGGGUGAUUAGACAACUUGACAAUAUAUUUUUUUGGAAUUUUCCCAAUUUAUUUGAGAGGCAGCUUUGGCAGUUAUAACAAGUCAAGUACACCCUACACAUGCAGUUCUAAGAGUAUAGCAGCGGAAUGUAAAACAUGCAAUUCUAAAGUAAAGGAGUGAGGUAGGGAAAUCAAACGCAUGAGGUUGACACGGCGAUUUUUGGCAUGGUUCCGAUGGGUUGUCCUAUUGUACGUCCAUGUUAGUGGUGACUUCAACCCACGGAGGGUAACUGCUAUGAGAGUCCACGGAGGGCUCCAUCCACAAGGGGUCCACGAAGAAGCAGCCUUGUCUAUUCCACCACGGCUUCCGCCCACGAAGGACUAGCCUUACUCACGGUAGAUCUUCACGAAGUAGGCGAUCUCCUUGCCAUUACAAACAUCUUUGUUCCACUCCACAAUAGGAAGUAGGAGGCUCGCAAGCAACACCUAACCAAUCUAGGAGGCACCACUCUCCAAAAGGUAAUAGAUGUGGUAGAUCAAUGAACUCUAUGCUCUUGUGCUUCUAAAGAUAGUCUCUUCAACACAAAAUCACUCUCUCACAGAAUAUGCAUGGGUAGGAGAGAUUGAUUUGGUGGAAAGCAGUUUGGGGAGGCUAGAGCUCAAGUGUCAAAUGGUUGGAUUGGAAUAUCUUGGUCUCAAAACAGAGUAGUUGGUUCUCUCUCAGAAAAUGAAUCUGACAAUGAAGUGUGUGUUCUGAGUGCUUCUCCCACGAGUGAGAGGUGGGUGAAGGGGUAUAUAUAGGCAGCACACAAAAUCCAACCGUUAUGCCUAAAGUGGCAAACUCGGUGCCACCGAAGUUACAAACUCGAUGGUAUCGAUUAGCACAAAAGGAAGAACUUUUGAAUCUCGGUGGACCGAAAAGGUGGCUAGCGGUCAGAUGCCCAAACUCGGUGACACCAAUACUCAAACUCAGAAAUUCCGAUUUCAUGUACCGAUGCAACAGAAUGUUGGUCACACUGAACUCGGUAGCAGUGAUAUGGAUUUUGUUGCACCGAUUUGGUGGGAAUGGCCAGGGUUUCUAUCUGAGGUCAAACUCGGUGGGUCCGAAAUGUGGAAGUUUGUGACACCAAAUUUGAGUAUGUGGAAUUUGAUAGAAUGGAUAUGUGGGAAAAUGACUGAGUAUUUUGGUGCUAACUUUGAGCACCUUGAACAGUGAGUUCAUUUUACUACCUCACCCCCUUUUAAUAGUAUUGUCUUUCCUAUGGACUCAAAAGUGAUUUCUCACAAAUAUAAAAUGAUGAGUCUUCUAGCUUGAAGCUCGAGCCAAUACUAUUCCUUUCUUGCACCAAGAGGCAUCUCCACAUAAGCUUAUAGCCAUAGCAUCUUUUAAACUUUUCUGAAAUAGACUUGGAAACCAUAUUAGUCCAAUGAUGCAUAUGUUGUGAUCAAUUAUCAAAACCACCCUAGGGAGCAAUUGUUAUUCCUAUCUCCCCCUUUUUGGUAAUUGAUGACAACAUAUAGAUCAAAGCUUCGACAAAAGAUAUAAUCAAUGAUUAGCAUCGACGCUUUGAAAAGUACGUGAAAAGCAAGAGCUCCCCCUAAAUUUGUGCAUUAUUUAAAAUUUGCAUUUGAAUGCAAAUGCACAACCUAUCAGGAUCAUGGGUUACUCUUCCAUGUCACACACAUCUUGGUGAUGCGCAUACAAUAUAAGAAUAAAUAGCAAUGCACAUGACACCAACAAGAUAAGUGAAUGAUCAUCACAUAGAUAGCUAAAAGGAUAAUAAGUAGCAUCAACCAAGCAAAGUGUAUGAUCAAACACAUAUAACGGGAUAAAGUCAUCCAAAAGACCAAAGUUUUUGAAACCAAAUGAGAGCAAACAAAGUCAAAAGCUCUUUCUCUCUCUCGAAGUCCAUGAUCUAUUCAUUUCUCCCCCUUUGGCAACAAGUUACUAAAAAUUCAAAAGGUAUAGAACUACUCGUCUCUCUGGGCAGCUGAUGACGGAGUCAACAAAAGAGCGUCCACGAAGGCAUCUGCUGAGUGUCCUGGAGCUGGAGGAGUGGAGACUGGAGAUGCUUGAGCUGGAGCUGGUGCUGAAGGUUCUGAUGCUUGAGCUGAAGAUGUCUGUCUUGUCUCCUGAGCAGGAACAACAGCUGAUCUAGGUUGAGUGUUGAACCGUGUGGAAGUGAGAGGAGGUGACUCUUAUUCAUCAUCGUCAUCAUGUGAGCGCAGGAUCUCCACUGAGUCAACUUCAUGUUGAAGCUGUUUGAAUAUAGUGGUCAACUCAGUAACCUUCACAUCCAUGUCAUGAAACAUAGUUUCCACGACUCUCUCAAGGCUUUUCUAACUUUGCAGUAUUUCCUGAAUGUUCUUCUCUGUGCCUUGGACAGAGAUAACUAGAAAUGUCAUUUGCUCAGCUUGAGUUCUGAGCUGUGGAAAUGGUGGUGGCCUAUUUCUAGCAGCCUCAGCAUCUGCUGCAUGUGCUGCCAUUCUUGGUGCAGCUGAUCUGGAAUCAUUUUCAUCCAUCACCACAACAUUGUCUUCAAAUUCUGGUGGAAGGGGCAGAUGGGGAUGAUCAAGGAGAUAUGCAUGCUUGCCUAGCUUGGCAUUGAUAAGCAUACGAAUGUAAGGGGCAUAUCCACAUGAUUUUUUCUGAUCAGUAGCAGUCCUCCGGAUAGUCUCUACUAUCAAGUCCAUCACUCUCAAUCUAGUGUGAGAGUCCAAAUGGUGCAGUAGAUUGAUGGAGUGUCCUCGAAUCAUCCUAUCAUCACCUGAUUUAGGCAUCAAGGUGUGUCACAUAAUAGUGUUAGUGGUGGGUAUCCCUUCUUGCAAGAAGUAUACUGAGCCCAUCUUGUGACUAGCCAAAUAAUCGUGAGGAAUUGGCUUGUACAUAUUGGUCAUAGUGUUGUGGCUCAUCUUUGCUUCAGAAUACACAUCCACAUCACUCUCUUUCUGCUUGGGGCACCAAUGAUAGUGGCCCACUCAUCAAUCGUAGACUCAUAUUUGUGAUCAUCAGUCAUCCAUACCAAAGAGACAUCUCCAUAGGAAUGAACAGUUGAGUAGAAUUUCAUGAUCAUCUCAUCAAUCCAUGGGGUCAUCUAUUUUCCAACAAAGUCUUUAAUGUCCACUAGCCUGAAGUUUUCUUGGACAUGGGGAAAGAAAUUCUCAUUCUCCUUGAUAUAUUCCCAGUCAACAUAUCUCAUAUCACUGACAAUGGGACUCUUGUCAAACAGGACAGACUCAUAAAAAUCUUGUUGUUCCUUGGUGUAAAACCUUGGAUCAACAACAGUUCUUUUUCUGACAGCAUAUGGGUCAACAGCUCUCCACUUCCUGAAACUUGUAUCUUUCCUCUUCCUCAUGUCUUCUGCUGUUGGGUGAGCAGCAUUGUGUACUGGCAGGAUUGCUCAGAGCUUCCUGAGAAUAGGUGCAUUCUCAUCUUCUACCUCCUCUACAACAGGGUACUAGAAGCAUGGCCUUUCUCCUUGGCAGCUGCAGGAAUAUCCUUUGUAGUCUUUCGACAAGCUACAACCUUCUUUGCCUUGGAUGGAGGCUUAGGAGCAGAUUUCAUGGCAUGAGCCAUGAGCUUCUUCUUCUUAGGAGGAGCUGAGAUCUCAUCUUCUCCAACAUCUUGUACACGAUCCUCAUACAUGGAAGUCUGUCUCCCACCAACAUGAACUAUCCGUUUCCUGGGUCUCUUCACACCAGCCUUCUUGGCCAGCUUGUCAAUGGAAAGUGCAAUGCUCUGCCUUGCAGAUUCAGGUGUUCUAAGAUCAUCAGGUUUAGCGUAUUCUUUCCUGACAGACUUCCUUGGAGCCUUAGGAGGAGCUGAUGUUUCCUCCAACACAAGUUUGAGUCUUCUUCGUCUGAGUUCAGUUUCUUCCUAUGCCUGGUGGCUUCCUUGGGCAAGCCAUGGGAGCUGUAAGAUCCAGGGUCAGAGUCAGUCUUCUCUGAAAUCAUUCUCGCUAUUAUCUGAUCCAAACAUCUUGGCAGACAAGCAGAAACUCAGCAGCAAACAGCAAAACCUAUGAUGUAGUUAUUGGAAAGACAGAAGGGUUGACCAUCACAAAAUUCAGAUGUUCUCUAAAAUUUGAACAAAGAAAUCCUUAGUUUUAGCUUUCUCCAGAUCACAUCUCGAUAGCACCGAGUUUGAAUUUUUGAAAUGACCGAGACAAAUGAACUCCUUUACAGAAACUUGGUCAUCACUUCGGUGGCACCAAAACCGACAACUCGGUCUCACCAAGUUCAUUCUCUGUAACCCUAGAUUCAAAUCGGUGGAACCGAGUUAUGCAACUCGGUGGAACCAAGAUGGGUUCCGCGGACGGCUAAACCUAAAAACUUCUAGUUCGCUAAUCUACAGGAACUUCUGGUGGAUGGAGAGGUUUGCACACUAUGGCUUGUGGAUAAAAUUUCUAAUACGCAUGAGAUAGAUCAGGGGAGUGCAAGAGAAAGGGGGAUCCAUACCCUAACUCGGUGAUGGUCCGGCUACGGCGGCGACGACGGUGAAGAAUCCGUCAGCAGUGGCAAUUACCAGCGGCGGAGACGCACGGGGAGUGAACGGCGACGUCCAGGGGUCCAGGGAGCAACUUAGGGCUUGAGCGAAACAGUUUUGACAAUUUGAAUUCAAAGAUCCGGUCCGCUGGAAUAUAUACCCUUUCGCUAUCGGUGUCACCGAGAUUAUGAAAUCAGUGUCACUGAGUUCCUCUACUGUCAGCUAACACAGAAACUUGGUGUAACCGAGUUUGUGAUUUCAGUGGUACCGUCAUGGAAAAACCAGAUCAGCUUUGGAAAUUCGGUGGAACCGAUUUUGUGAAGUUGGUCUCACCGAGAUUUUCAAAGAGGUUUUGCAAGGCAGCCUUUGACGAUACGGAACUCCAAGUGCACCUUCACACAGAGGGGUCGACAAGUGCUUGUUCAGGUCUUGUGAUGAAGCAUGAAUAGAACUUGAGAUGAGAUAGCAUAGAUAGCUAGAGAAGGGUCCUAGGCAUUCUUGUCCAUCCAAUUGGCAAAAGAUAAAUCAAGAGCCAAAUAAAAACAAUUGGAUGUCCUCGAAUGAGCAAACACAUGCAGACCAACAUGCUCACACGAUAAGAAUGAUGGAUAAAAACAUGGUGAACAUGCACAAACAUCUUAGCAGCUAUCAAGCACUUGGGCGAUGACAAAGUGAUCUAUAUAUGAGUAUAUUGACUUAGGAGCCAAGUAAGAAUACUUUAUCAUAGGUCAUAUUCAUCGUUAAGCACAAGUGGGGAUACCGCUUUUACAUAAGCAUUAAUGUGUUCAUAUCCUUAGGAGAUGCUUAUACUCAAGAUUUAGAGUAAAGCUCCCCCUUGAUAUGACAUCCCCCUAAGAGGGAUCAACUAACCUUGGGUUUUUUCAUAGAAGACUUCAAGUAGGUGAAGUAUUGGUUGAUGCUCAAUGUUGAUGAAGAUCAUCUUGAGCUGGGAGCAAUCCUUGUUGUUUCUUACUCUUCUCACCUACAUGGGUUAGUCCCAAAGAAAAAGGAACAUAUGCACAAAUAUCUAUGGACAUGGAGUGAAACACACAUGGGAUGAUGUCCAAAGAUGCAUUAAUUACCUUGUUCCUUGCUUACCUUUGAGGGAAUGUGUGACUCCUUGAGCCAAUGCAUAUGGUUGAGGUUGAUUUCAUAUAGUUCUUGCCAAAAUGAAUAAGAGUGAAUUUCAUUGGCGGAGUCACCCCUCAAGAACUUUCUAGUUCUUCCUCUUGGGGAUCCACAUCAAAUUGAUGGGCAUCCUUGGAUUUGUGGUAGCACUUGUUGAGGUAGAGCUAGUAGUGUCCUUGGGAAUCCACUUGACCUUGGCUUGGGGUUCUUCUUCAAAUAGGUCAAUGUCAUCUUGAAGCUUUCCCUCGCCUUUAUGGUCUUGUGGUAGAAGGCCAUCUUGUGAGCUUGUUCCUUCGGGAGGAGUAGGAUCAUACUUCUCCUCUUGGGGAACAAACUUAGGACUGGGGUAUGGACCUUCUUCCCAAUCAUCUCCGUUGAUGUUGAAGUAGCAAACACCUUGUUUCUUCCGAUGUCCUCCUUGCUUGCGCAAAAUUUCCUCAAAUUUCUUACUUCCGGCAAGACUCUUGAAGACACCUCUCUCUAUAAUCCCUUUUCAUAUAUCGUUUUCUUCCUCAAGUGUAACUUGGCUAAGAGAAUCAUUAGUGGAAUCAAGAGAUCCACUAGCAACAACAUUAUUGGAUUUAGCUUUAGCGUUGUUGUUACUAGAUGAGAAAACUUUCUUGCCUUUGUUACUAGUGUUCCUAGGUUUAACUUGUGGAACAAAAUUAGACAAGAGUAAUCGUUUGGCUAGAUUAGAAGAACUCUUCUUUCAAAGAUCAUCAUUGAUUGCUUUUAAGAACUCAUGUUCUUGCUCCAAAUUGAGAUUCUCAAAGCGUAGCUUCUCAUGGGUUCUUGCAAGCUCUCUAUGAUCUUCUAGAGUAGUCUCAUGAGCUAACUUAAGAGUUUUUAAUUCUUGGAUUAGCCGUUCAUUUUCUUUAUUAUCAUCAUCACUCGAUUUCUUUUGACUAGCAUGAUAAUUAGCAAGUUCAUUUUCAUUGCAAUCACUAGUUUUAUAAAAGAGCAAGUCAUCUUAUCCUAAAAAGUCAUCCUCGUCACUAUUAAAUCAAGAUACUCGGGGUGUGAUACCUUGGGGACUUUAGCCAUGAAGCAGUUUCCGAACCCCCCAUUUGGUGAAUCAAAUAGGUCAUAGGAGUUGCAGGAAACAAGUGCAAUGCUGGCAACACCUUCAUCAUGACUAUAGUCGGAGUUGGAGUGAUAGCUUCUGUCGUAGUAGUCUUCUUAUUGAGCUGCUCUUGGUGUAUUUGUCCUUCUCUGAUUCCUUGCCUCCCCGUGAGUGUCUUCGUUCAUAGUGAUCUUCGGUACUCCUUCUUUCUCUACGAGGUGAUUCAUCUCUUGAUUGUCUUCGAGGUGAUGAUACGUCCCAAACGUAUCUAUAAUUUCUGCUUGUUCCAUGAUCUUUUGGGUGACAUUGUUAUAUGUUUUGCUACACUUUUAUAUCUUUUUACACAUAUUUGGACUAACCUACAAACUCAGUGCACCCAGUGCCAGUUUCUGUCUGCUGAUGUCUUUUUUGCCGGGACUUUUACCCAAAUUUUUAGAGUCCCAAAAAUCCCGAGAAAAAUAUAUGAAAAUCAGCGUGACAGAAGAUUCUAGAGCACCGAAGAUGGGCCAAAGGGGAGCCAGGGGCUGCCCAGGCGGCCUCCCUGCGCGGCCUACCCCUGUUCGCGCCCAUAGGUAGCCUGGGUGGGCCCCACCUCCUCUAACGCCCUCCUUUGGCCUAUAUUUACCCCUCCGAUCGGAAACCCUUCCAUCUUAUCCAGAAUCAUGAAUUUGCCAUCGUUCCGCCGCUGCAGCGCUUCCAAGAUCGGGAGCGUCACGCGACCUCUUCCCGGCACCCUACCGGAGGGAGGACUGACCUCCGGGAGCUUCUCCACCGCCAUGGACGCUUCCCGGACGUGCGGUGAGGAUUCCUCCUUGGACCAUGAGUCCAUGACCAGUAGUUAUGUGAUGUAUUCUCUCCAAUCUUGUGCUUCAAUGAUUAGUCCUUGUGAGCUGCCCUACAUGAUCAAGGCACCUAUGUAAUUUUCCUGCUACUGCUAUGCUUGGUUUGUUGGGAUCCGAUGGAUUAUGAGAUUAUGUUCAGAUUGUGAUGAGUUAUAUAUUUAAUUAUCCUUUUAUAUUAUGUUCUUUAGUGAUUCAUGCAUGUUCUUCGUUGCUCUUUAUUGAUUUGGCCGAGUAGUAGAUUGUAACUCCAAGAGGGAGCGUUAUGCAUGAUUGUGGGUUCAUGCCCCCUGAUGUCUAGCUUGAGUGACAGAAACAUGAGACUAGGGGAUGUGUUGUUGCCACCAGGGAGAAAACAACGGUGCUUGUGACCGCGGUUGCAAGGAUUGUUUACCUUAUGCAAAGUUCGUUAAUGCAGUUGUCCGUUGCUUUGAGUUUACACUUUGGGUGGAGCUCGCAACUUAAUACCAGCGAGAUGUUCUGGAUAGAUAUCUCAAUAUGGAUGAUUAAUAAGUAGACACUGAUGAAUAAAUGGUCUACUUGUCUUGGCGUAUUGCCCAUUACUAUUGAGCCUCUAACUUUCAAGUAGCAUAAUUAGCAUUGCGGUGCAUUUAUAAUUCUCUCAAUUGCCCAGCUGUAAUUUGUUUACCCAUGCAUAGUUGUUUAUCAUCAUUUGGGAGAGAUACAUCACUAGUGAACAUCAUGUGACUCAGGUCCAUAUCAUCACCAUUGCUUACACCUCCAUCAUUUACUGCUUUCAUUUACUUUUUCGUUGCAAUCACUAUCACUAUUGUCGCUUGUGUUUUGAUCCUUUGCAAACUACAAGGCCGGAGAGAUUGACAAUCUCUCUGUACUCGUUGGGAGCAAAGUUAUUUGUUGUGUGUGCAGGUCCACGUCUUCUGCUAGCGUCAGAGGAGAGGACACCUACUUGUUGAUCCUCGGAGUCCUCCUGGUUCGAUAAACCUUACAUUCCCCAUGUAAGGGAAAUCUGUUGCUGACUACAUCUCCACCUUCCACUUGGGGUAACCAACGAGGGGCAAGAAGUAUAUCCAUCAACUUGUCAUCAGGUGACUCUUCUCUUUAGUUGUAGGGAGCCGAGCACUCAUUGAAGUAGUGUUCGGGCUUCGCACAAUUGUAGCAAUUUCGGUCACGAUUGGAUGAACGCUUCUCAUCAUGUCUUGAGCUUGAGCUUCUCUCUUUGCCUCUACUCUUGUAGAACUUUUUGAAUUUUGUGACCAUGAGACUUAUCUCUUAAUGAGUGACAAGAUUUUCCUUUGAAGUAGUGGGAGCAUCACAUGAAGCUUUGUAAGCACCGAUUGACUUGUUGUGCAGCUCAUCUUUGUCCUUGAGUGACAUCUCAUGAGCAACAAUCCUACCAAUGACUUCAGUUGGCUUGAGAUAUUUGUAGUUUGGCAUCAUUUGGAUCGAUGUGCACACUCUGUCAUACUUUCCAUCAAGAGCUCUAAGUAUCUACUUGAUGAUGAAUUUGUUGGUCAUAUCUUCUCUUCCUAAGCCGACAAUCUCAUUGGUGAUGAGAGCUUGCCUAGAGUAUAUUUCAGCGACACCUUCGGGGGGGGGUCCUUCAUCUUGAACUUGUCAAGCUCACUUUGAAGCACAUCCAACUUAGAUUCUCUGACAAAAUCAGUACCUUAGUGCAUAUCAACCAAAGUGUCCCAAAUUUCUUUUGCAUUCUCAAGAUGACUAAUUUUGUUGAAUUUUUGGGGCAUAAACAGUUGAAGAUGAUGUCGCAGGAUUGAGCAUUGAGUUGCAACAUCUUCAGUUCAUCAGUUGUCGCAUCACGAUUAGGUUCAUGCCUUUCUCCAAAGAAGUUACCUUCCACACCAACACGAAUAACAACCCAAACAUGAGGAUUCAAGUGAAGAAUAUGCAUUUUCAUCUUAUGCUUCUACCUAGCAAAAUUAGUGCCAUCGAAAUAUGGACCUCUAUAGUGAUAAUUUCCCUCACUAGACGCCAUACUCUCCUAGGUUGUGAAACCAAUGCGAUGGAGACCAAAGCUCUGAUACCACUUGUAGGAUGAAAAGUAUGUCUAGAGGGGGGAUGAUUAGACUACUUGACAAGAUAUAUUUUUUGCCUUUUCCCAAUUUUAGUUGAGGCAGCUUUGGCAGCUAUAGCAAGUCAAGUACACCCUACACAUGCAGUUCUAAGAGUAUAGCAGCGGAAUGUAAAACAUGCAAGUGUAAAGUAAAGGAGUAAGGUAGGGAGAUCAAACGCAUGAGGUUGACACGGUGAUUUUUGGCAUGGUUCCGAUAGGUAGUGCUAUCGUACGUCCAUGUUAGUGGAGACUGUUGGAAUUAUGACUUCAACCCACGGAGGGUAACGGUUGCGAGAGUCCACGGAGGGCUCCACCUACAAGGGGUCCACGAAGAAGCGGCCUUGUCUAUUCCACCACGGCUUCCGCCCAUGAAGGACUAGCCUUACUCACGGUAGAUCUUCACGAAGUAGGCGAUCUCCUUCCCUUAUAAACAUCUUGGUUCCACUCCACAUCAUGAAGUACGAGGCUCUCACGCGACACCUAACAAAUCUAGGAGGCACCACCCUCCAAAAGGUAAUAGAUGUGGUAGAUUGAUACGUCUCCAUCGUAUCUACUUUUCCAAACUCUUUUGCCCUUGUUUUGGACUCUAAUUUGCAUGAUUUGAAUGGAACUAACCUAGACUGACGCUGUUUUCAGCAGAAUUGCCUUGGUGUUGUUUUUUGUGCAGAAAUAAAAGUUCUCACAACGUCCUGAAAAUUUACGGAGAAUAUUUUUGGAAAAUAUGAAAAAUACCUGCGCAAAGAUCCACUGAGGGGGUGGGCCAGUGGGCCACAAGCCCUGUAGCCGCCACCCCCCUGGUGGCGGCUAGCAAGCUUGUGGGGCCCACGUGGCUCUACCGCCCCCAAUCUCAGCUCUAUAAGUUCACUUUCGUCCCAGAAAAAAUCAAAAGAGAAUAUUUCGUCGUGUUUGCGAUACGGAGGCGCCGCCAGAUCCUGUUCUUCAUCUGGAGGGCAGAUCUGGAGUCUGUUUUGGGCUCCGGAGAGGGGAAAUCGUCGCCAUCGUCAUCAUGAACCUUCUUCCCUCUCCAAUUCCAUGAAGCUCUUCGUCGUUCGUGAGUAACCUAUUCGUAGGCUCGCUGGGCGGUGAUGAGUAGGAUGAGAUCUAUCAUAUAAUCGAGUUAAUUUUGAUGGGGAUUGAUCCCUAGUAUCCACUAUGUUCUGAGAUUGAUGUUGCUACUAUGUUGUCAUGCUUAAUGCUUGUCACUAGGGCCCGAGUGCCAUGAUUUCAGAUCUAAAAUUAUUAUGUUGUCACCAAUAUAUGUGUGCUUUAGAUCCGAUCUUGCAAGUUGUAGUUACCUACUAUGUGUUAUGAUCCGGCAACCCCGGAGUGACAAUAACCGGAACCACUCCCGGUGAUGACCAUAGUUUGAGGAGUUCAUGUGUUCACCAAGUGCUAAUGUGUUGGUCCGGUUCUUUAUUAAAAGGAGAACCUUAAUAUCCCGUAGUUUCCUUUUGGACCCCGCUUCCACGGGAGGGAUGGACAAUAGAUGGCAUGCAAGUUCUUUUCCCUAAGCACGUAUGACGACACACAGAAUGCAUGCCUACAUCACAUUGACGAACGGGAGCUAGCCACAUAUCUCUCCGUGUUAUAACGGUUGCAUGAUGAAUAUCAUCCAAACAAAUCACCGACCCAUUGUCUACGAGUUUGUCCUACUGCUGCUAUUACUUGUCUUGCUCUACUGUUGUUACUUGUCUUGCUCUGCUGCUACUGUUGCUACUACUGUCGUUUGCUACUGUUGCUACUUGCUACUGUUGUCACUACUGCUGUUCAUUGCCACUGCUAUUACUCGUUACACUGCUGCUACCUGCUACAAUACUUUUUCUCGCGCCAUUGACGGGAAAGAAUAUUUUCCGUCCACGGGCAACUUCUGGCGCCUUUGAUACAAUUGUUAGGAAUAGUCUGUCGUCGACAAAUCGUUUCUGACACCGUUGUUAUCAUACUACUUUGUUGUUACUACUUUGCUUGCAGAUACUAAUCUUUCAGGUGUGGUUGAAUUUGACACAUUCAGCUGCUAAUACUUGAGAGUAUCCUCUCACCUCCUGCCUGGCGAUCAACAAAUUUGGGUCGAAUACUCUACCCUCGAAAACUACCGCGAUCCCACGCACUGGUGGGCCGUCAACAACAUUCUUCUAGUUUUGAUUGCCGAAGAGUGCUAGCAGCAUUCUUCUGGUGUCGUUGCAAGGGAAGGUUUGUUGUCACGGAGUCGGCAUUUUUCUGGCGCCGUUGCCGGGGAGGUAUUGCUAUAUUCUCCGAGUCACUUGGGAUUUAUAUCUGCUGAUCACUAUGAAGAAUCUAAAGGAUCCAAAAACCAAAGUCUUGCCCUCAACUACGAGGGGAGGUAAGGAAUUGCCAUCUAGCUCUGCACUUGAUUCACCUUCAGUUAUGAGUAAGUUUGCGACAUCACCUCCUGCUAUGCUUGAUACCGCUAGGAUGAAAUACGACCCGAAGUUUGCCACUUCACCUAUCUUUAUCACCGAUAAGGAUUAUGAAUUCUCUGUCGAUCCUGAGAUAAUCUCUCUAGUCGAAUCUGAUCCUUUCCACGGUUAUGAGUCUGAGAAGGUCGUAGCCCAUCUUACCAAACUACACGAUAUAGCCACCCUUUUCACUAGUGAGGAGAAGAUCCGCCACUACUACAUCCUUAUGAUGUUUCCUUUCUCUCUAAAGGAUGACGCUAAAGCCUGGUUCACCUCUCUUGCUCAUGGAUGUGUGAGUAGUCCCCAGGAUAUGGUAUAUUACUUCUGUGAGAAAUAUUUCCCUGCCCAUAAGAAGCAAGCUGCCUUGCAGGAAAUAUAAUACUUUGCUCAACUCAAAGAAGAGAGUCUCCCACAAGCUUGGGGGAGGCUCAUCCAGGUACAGAAUGCUUUGCUUGAUCACCCUCUUAGGAAGAACGAGAUACUUGAUAUCUUCUAUAACGGACUUACCGAUGCUUCUAGAGACCACUUAGAUAGUUGUGCCGGUUGUGUUUUUAGGGAACGAACUAUUGAACAAGCUGGGACCCUUCUGAAUAACAUCUUGAUCAACGAUAAUGCUUGGACUAUUCCCGAACCACCUCCUAAGCCAACUCCUAAGAAAAGAGGUAUUCUAUUCCUCAGUCCCGAAGAUAUGCAAGAAGCCAAGAAAUCUAUGCAAGAGAAAGGCAUUAGAUCUCAAGAUGUCAAAAAUCUACCACCUAUCGAAGAGAUCCAUGGUCUCGAUAACCCGAUACAAGUAGUAGAAGUGAAUUCUCUGCGUAGGUUUGACGAGAGUGAUAUUCCUUUUGACAAACCUGCUAGCCUAUGCUUUGAUGAAUUUGACAACUUUGUUGCCAAACAACAGAGUUUCAAUGAUUAGUUAGCAGACAUUUGGAACAAAGUACUCGUAUGCUUAGCCAUCUAAGUGCUUGUGUAGACAGAAAUGUCAAUGAUCUGAAGCUUCUGAGUAAACAUGCCUCUAUGAUUACUACUCGGGUAGAACAAGUACUUAAAGCUCAGAAUGACCUGCUCAAUGAAUUAAAUGACAACUCUGUCAGAGUCAUUACUAAAGGAGGCAAAAUGACUCAGGAACCUUUGUAUCCUGAAGGUCAUCCUAAGAGAAUUGAUCAAGAUUCUCAAGGAAUUAAUGCUAAUACACCCAGUCAUCCUAAGGAGAAGAAGAAGGAUGAUAGAAACCUACAUGCCAGUUCACCAAAUACUGUCACACCUGAAGAAUCUAAUGAUAUUUCUGCGUCUGAUGCAGAAACACAAUCUGGUGAUGAACAUGAACCUGGUGACAAUAAGGACAAUGAUUGUUCAUAAUAAUGCCCAACCUAGCAAUGAUGAGGAUGUGGAGAUUGAACCUACGGUUAGUCCUGAUAACCCACAACCUAAGAGAUACGAUAAGAAUGACUUCACUGCUAGGAAGCAUGGUAAAGAAAGGGAGCCAUCGGUUCAGAGAUCUAUGCCCUUUCCUCCUAAGCCAUCCAAUAAAAAGGAUGAUGAAGAUUUUGAGCGCUUUGUUGAGAUGAUAAGACCCAUCUUUCUGCAGAUGCGGUUAACUGAUAUGCUCAAGAUGUCUCCGUAUGCCAAGUACAUGAAAGAUAUUGUGACUAAUAAACGGAAGAUACCAGAUCUUGAGAUCUCCACCAUGCUUUCCAACUACACUUUCAAAGGUGGAACUCCUAAGAAACUUGGUGAUCCCGGAGUGCCCACUAUACCUUGCUCCAUUAAAUGAAACUACGUAAGAACUGCCUUAUGUGACCUUGGAGCCGGUGUUAGUGUUAUGCCGCUCUCUCUUUAUCGUAGACUUGAAUUGGAUAAGUUGACACCCACUGAAAUUUCUCUGCAAAUGGCCGACAAAUCAACUGCUUUCCCUGUCGGCAUUUGCGAGGAUGUGUCUGUUGUGGUUGCUAACACCACUAUCUUAACAGACUUUGUUAUCUUGGAUAUUCCCGAGGACGAUGCCAUGGCUGUCAUUCUCGGAAGACCCUUUUUAAACAUUGCAGGGGCUGUUAUAGAUUGCAACAAAGGCAAUGUCACUUUCCAUGUCAAUGGUAAUGAGCACACGGUGCACUUUCCUAAGAAACGAUAUCAAGUACAUUGCAUCAAUGCUAUUGAAAAGACUUCAUCGAUUCUUAUUGGGAGCUUUGAAUGCCCUAUUCGUUGUGUCAAGAUGAAGUACGAUUUGCUUGUUGGGGAGAUACAUAUCCCCAUUGAGGUGACUUAGUAGCUAUCCGAAAAUUCUCUGUUCUCUCUUGCGAUUUGAGAAGGUUUUUUCAUGAGGACUUGAUCAACCCCAUUGACGGAUUUGUUUCGAUGACCAUGGAAUGGAUGAAUCAAAGAGUCACCUACCUCUAUUUUGAGAUUUCAUUUUCUGUUGCUUAGAAGAAAAAUGAUAGAUUUAGUUCAGUUUUCCUGUUUUCUGUUUUAGCGUCCCGGAGAAAAAUACCCCGAAAAUAAAAGUUCUCCGAUGGUCCUGAAAAUUUAGUAUGAAUUUUUCUGGAAUAUUUGAAAAAUAUUGGGCCUGAGAGCUGGCCUGGGGGCCAGACCAGUGGGCCACAAGCCCUGCCACCGCCACCCCCCUGGUAGCGGCUAGCAAGCUUGUGGGGCCCGCAGGGACCCCCUCCACUCAUUCCAGCUCCCAUACUCUUCUUCCACCUCUAGAAAAAAUUGUUUCGCAGCUCAAACCCGUGUUCUUGCUCAUUUGGCUGUGAUUUUUGAUCCCCUUGCUCAAAGCACCAUUCUCCGAACCGUUUUGGGGAAAUUACUCCUUGGUAAGUGACUCCUCCAUUGGUCCAAUUAGUUUUUGCUCUAGUGCUUUAUCCUUCGCGUAUUCUUGCUACCUUGGUGACCCUGUUCUUGAGCUAGAAAUGUUGAUUUUAGCUGGUCCCAAGUAGUUUUAGCGCGUGAUACGGUCUCUAGGCACUAGUAGGAGUAGUUGCUACAAGGUGUGGUUGGUCCUCAUUCAGUUUUCUCUUGAACUUCAAAAAUUUCAGCAAAAGGAAAUUAUGUUCACGAGGAAGUUUCAUGGUGGUUCCUCAAGUAAGAAGGGUCCCCGUCUUUCUUUUCGGGAGCCCGGACCUUUUCAACUAAGGGACGCACCAGUACAACCAUGUGAAUGGCCUUCCGAUGAGUUCAUGAUCGAAGCAGGUUUCAAGGAUGAGUUUGAUACACUUGUCCGCAAUGCCGGGUUAGAAGAAUUCCCCUCAGAUAAAUGUGAAUAGUAUGCUAUGCUCACUGCCUCUUUCGUGCGUAGAUUUAAAUUUUCAGUUAGCCGUGACUCAUCCAUACUGUUUGAUCUGUACAAUAAAUCCUACGCCAUGGAUUUGGAGGAUUUCAAUAGGAUUUGCAAGAUACCUGAUGGGGGUAGUAUUAAUGAUCCUUCUAAGUCUUCGGUCAGAGACUUUGUCUCCAGUAUAACUGUUGGAGAAACCAGAGAUAUCACGCAAGCUACCAUAGGAAGCAUCCAUUUCCCUGCCUUGCACUACUUUGCCCUCUUCAUAGGUAGGUGCAUUAACGGCAAGGGUGCACAUUGUCACCUAUGCGCUUCCGACCUUAGUAUCCUUAAGAGCACAGUAACAGGUGACAGGAGCUUCAAUGUGGGAGCUAUAAUAGCAAGGAGGCUGAAUAAUAAUGCCAGUGAGGGGGAUUUCUUUGGUGGAGUUUAUGCUACACGCUUAGCAAAUUUUCUUGGAGUAUCCAUCCAUUCAGAAGACCCUCCUCUCCGUACAGCCUACCUUGAUCGUGUCGCUCUAACACGCUACCAGUUCCUUGAGAGAGAUCAUGGAUCUCUCCUAUACCGUUUUAUAUUUAACCGGUAGCGUGUUUUCCAUAUUACCCUUUCUGCUCCUGCUUUCUUUGACUUUCAGGUAAAACGAAGAUACUACAUAACCAUAGGAGAGGCACAGGAGUAUGAGAGGGAGGCGACGGUUGCUCGACUACGUGAGGCAGCUAUUCAGGCAGUGGCUGCAGCACUCCCGUAUAACACCCAUUAUGAUUUUGGGUUUCGCCAGGACCAUCCAAGGGAGUAGACCAAGCUAGGCCAAAAGCCUAAGCUUGGGGAGUACGUGUUCUCACCGACUUUACAUUCAUGCUUAUGCUUUCACUUUGUUAGUCGGUGUUCACACUUUGCCACUGUAUUACCCAUGCUAGUUUAUUUUCGUUUUCUUGUUUUCUUGUUUUGUGUCCUUUUAAGAAAACCCAAAAAGAUUUUUCUUUUUUCUUUUGCUUGUUGGGAGUUUUCCCGUGUAAAUAGUUUCCUUUUUCUUUGGGUUAAGGUAGAAGAUAUUGGUUACAAUGUUUAGUGGUUCUUGCUUGUCUACCUGUUUAGCUUUCAAAGAGCCAUAUUACUUUGUCUUCUCCUUUGUGUUUGCCUGCAGAUUCAGCUUAGUCCAAUGCACGAGCACUCUUAUUAUUGUACACAUCGUUCGAUCGUGCAAGUGAAAGGCAAUAAUGAUGAUAUAUGAUGAAGUGACUGAGACUGAAAAGAUGGUAUGAACUCUAUCUAUUUUGUUUUUGUAAAUAUGACUAGCUUGUCGAUCGAGAUUCAGCUUUGUUGUGAGAGAACCAUGUUUGCAAUGAAAACUUAGAGAUCAUAGUUUCUGAUGCCAUGCUUAUUUAGCUAGGAGCUUAUAAUGGUUUGUCUUGAAUGCCAACAUAGAUUUUGAGAUGACUAUGAUGUAGUAUGAUAGGAUGGUAUUCUCCUUUGAAUGAUUCGAGUGGCUUGACUUGGCGCAUGUUCAUGCAUGUAGUUGAAACAAAAUCAACAUAGCUUCUAUGAUGUUCGUGUUCAUGGUGAUUUAUAUCCUGUUCAUGCUUGCAUUCAAUGUUAGUCAAACUCAUUGCAUCUUGACGACUGUUGUCGCUCUCUAGUUGGUCGCUUCCGAGUCUUUUGCUAGCCUUCACUUGUACUAAGCAGAAUACUGCUUGUGCAUCCACUUCCAUAAACCCAAAAGUUUUUCCAUGAGAGUCCACCAUACCUACCCAUUUGCGCUAUCUACCUGCCGUUCCAAGUAAAUUUGCAUGUGUCACUCUCUAAACCUUCAAUAAAUAAUAUGUUUUGCAUGCCUGAACCGCUCAUGUGGUGACAGGGGGCUAUUGGUAACUUCCAUGCUAGGAGUGUUAUCCUCGACAUGUGUUUAUUCACUAUCAUUCAAGAGAAAGGGGCCCGUAAUUGGAAUGCCCAGUUCCACGCUUAUAUCAAAAACAUAACUGUAAAACAAGACUCCCCCCGGAUUGAUGUUAGUAUGGACGGUACCCGAGGAUUCGGCUACCCGUGGAGUGUGAUUGAUUGGUGGUGGGGGAGUUAAAACUUUACUUUUCUGUUUGGGAACCGCCUAUAACAUGAGUAGCAUGGAAGAUAUUGAGAACUCUUGGUCAUUGCAUUGACAAUGAAAGCAUGCCACCCAAAAUUAUUAUCUCUGUUUUCAAAGCUUGAGCUCUGGCACCUCUGCAAAUCAAUGCUUCCCUCUGCGAAGGGCAUGUCUAUUUAUUUUCCUGUCGAGUCAUCCUCCUCUUUUAUAAGCACCAAUUAGAGAGCACCUCUGACAUUUUUAUGCUUUGCUUUUGAUUGAUAUUGAGUAUGACUAUGACUGGAUCUUCGUUGAUAUGAAUUACAAUGUCUAGUCAGCCCUCGAUCUUUGAAAGUGCUCUGCAUUUAUGUUUUGCGGUCUCAGAAAGAGCUAGCAAGAUACCACCUAUUCAUGUUGCAUCAUGCUUGUUUUGAUUGAAGUGUUGGUAUUUGAAACUCAUUAUUAUUUGCUCGUUAGCUGAUUAUGCCAUUAAUAUAAGUUUACCAUGAGCCCUUUGUGUCACUUGCUUAUAUGGUUAACUUGUGAUCUUGCUGAAAUUCUGGUUAUGAGUCAGACAUAGUUGCAACAACAAGAUCAAACAGAGUUUGUCAAAGUUUUUCUUUCUCUCUCAGUUUGUCAACUGAGUUGUUUGAGGACAAGCAAGGUUUUAAGCUUGGGGGAGUUGAUACGUCUCCAUCGUAUCUACUUUUCCAAACUCUUUUGCCCUUGUUUUGGACUCUAAUUUGCAUGAUUUGAAUGGAACUAACCUGGACUAGCGCUGUUUUCAGCAGAAUUGCCUUGGUGUUGUUUUUGUGCAGAAAUGAAAGUUCUCGGAACGUCCUGAAAAUUUACGGAGAAUAUUUUUGGAAAAUAUGAAAAAUACCUGCGCAAAGAUCCACCUGAGGGGGUGGGCCAGUGGGCCACAAGCCCUGUAGCCGCCACCCCCUGGUGGCGGCUAGCAAGAUUGUGGGGCCCACGUGGCUCUGCCGCCCCCAAUCUCAGCUCUAUAAGUUCACUUUUGUCCCAGAAAAAAUCAAGAGAGAAGAUUUCGUCGCGUUUGCGAUACGGAGGCGCCACCACAUCCUGUUCUUCAUAUGGAGGGCAGAUCUGGAGUCCGUUUUGGGCUCCGGAGAGGGGAAAUCGUCGCCAUCGUCAUCAUCAACCUUCUUCCCUCUCCAAUUCCAUGAAGUUCUUCAUCGUUCGUGAGUAAUCUAUUCAUAGGCUCGCUGGGCGGUGAUGAGUAGGAUGAGAUCUAUCAUGUAAUCAAGUUAGUUUUGAUGGGGAUUGAUCCCUAGUAUCCACUAUGUUCUCAAAUUGAUGUUGCUACUACUUUGCCAUGCUUAAUGCUUGUCACUAGUGUUGGGUAACGUAGCAUAAAUUCAAAAUUUUCCUACGCAUAUUCAGAUCUGCCUAUGGAGAGACCAGCAACGAGAGAGGGGUAAGAGCAUCUUCAUACCUUUGAAGGUCGCUAAGCGGAAGCAUUGCUGGAAUGCGGUUGAUGGAGUCGUACUCGCAGCGAUUCCGAUCUAGUGCCGAACUACGGCACCUCCGCGUUCAACACAUGUGCAGCCCGGUGACGUCUCCCGCACCUUGAUCCAGCAAGGAGGAGGGAGAGGUUGGGGAAGAACUCCAGCAGCACGACGGCGUGGUGUCGAUGGAGAGACGAGGUCUCCCGGCAGGGCUUCGCCAAGCACCGGCACAGAGGAGGAGAAAGAAGAGCAGGGCUGCGCUGAGGGAGAGGGAAAAGUGUGUCUCUCAAUGGCCAAAACCCCUCUAUAUUUAUAGGAGGAGGGGGAGGGUUGCGCCACCCCUAGGGUUCCCUACCUAGGGGCCGGCGGCCACCAGAUGGGAGAGGGGGCGGCGGCUAGGGUGGGAGGGGGUGUGGCGCACCACCUGGUGGGCCUAAGGCCCACCUGCGCCUAGGGUUGCCCCCUCUCCCCACCACUUGCGCAUUGGGCUGGGUGUGGGAGGCGCACCAGCCCACCUAGGGGCUGGUUCCCUCCCGCACUUAGCCCAUCUAGCCUCUCGGGGUCGUUGCCCCCCUUCGGUGGACCCCCGGGGCCACCUCCGGUGGUCUCGGUGGUCCCGGUACUUUACCGGUGACGCCCGAAACACUUCCGGUGUCCGAAACCAUCCGUCCUAUAUAUCAAUCUUUACCUCCGGACCAUUCCGGAGCACCUCGUGAUGUCCGGCAUCUCAUCCGGGACUUUGAACAACUUUCAGUAACCUCGUAUAACAAUUCCCUAUAACCCUAGCGUCAUCGAACCUUAAGUGUGUAGACCCUACGGGUUCGGGAGACAGGCAGACAUGACCGGGACACCUCUCUGGCCAAUAACCAUCAGCGGGGUGUGGAUACCCAUGGUGGCUCCCACUUGCUUCACGAUGAUCUCAUCGGAUGAACCACGAUGUCAAGGAUUCAAUCAAUCCCGUAUACGAUUCCCUUUGUUUGUCGGUAUAGAACUUGCCCGAGAUUCGAUCGUCGGUAUACCUAUACCUUGUUCAAUCUCGUUACCGGUAAGUCUCUUUACUCGUUCCGUAGCACGUCAUCGUGUGACUAACUCCUUAGUCACAUUGAGCUCAUGAUGAUGUUCUACCGAGUGGGCCCAGAGAUACCUCUCCGUCACACGGAGUGACAAAUCCCGAUCUCGAUUCGUACCAACCCAACAGACACUUUCGGAGGUACCCGUAGUGCACCUUUAUAGUCACCCAGUUACGUUGUGACGUUUGAUACACCCAAAGCACUCCUACGGUAUCCGGGAGUUGCACAAUCUCACGGUCGAAGGAAAAGAUACUUGACAUUAGAAAAGCUUUAGCAUACGAACAAUACGAUCUAGUGCUAUGCUUAGGAUUGGGUCUUGUCCAUCACAUCAUUCUCCCAAUGAUGUGAUCCCGUUAUCAAUGACAUCUAAUGCCCAUGAUCAGGAAACCAUGAUCAUCUAUUGACUAACGAGCUAGCCAACUAGAGGCUUGCUAGGGACACAUUGUGAUCUAUUUAUUCACACAUGUAUUACUGUUUCCUGUUAAUACAAUUAUAGCAUGAACAAUAGACGAUUAUCAUGAACAAGGAAAUAUGAUAAAAACCAUUUUAUUAUUGCCUCUAGGGCAUAUUUCCAACAACUAGGGCCUGAGUGCCAUGAUUUCAGAUCUAAAAUUAUUAUGUUGUCACCAAUAUAUGUGUGUUUUAGAUCCGAUCUUGCAAGUUGUAGUUACCUACUAUGUGUUAUGAUCCGGCAACCCCGGAGUGACAAUAACCGGAACCACUCCCGGUGAUGACCAUAGUUUGAGGAGUUCAUGUGUUCACCAAGUGCUAAUGCGUUCGUCUGGUUCUUUAUUAAAAGGAGAACCUUAAUAUCCCGUAGUUUCCUUUUGGACCCCGCUGCCACGGGAGGGAUGGACAAUAGAUGUCAUGCAAAUUAUUUUCCCUAAGCAUGUAUGACGACACACGGAAUGCAUGCCUACAUCACAUUGACGAACGGGAGCUAGCCACAUAUCUCUCCGUGUUAUAACUGUUGCAUGAUGAAUAUCAUCCAAACAAAUCACCGACCCAUUGCCUACGAGUUUGUCCUACUGCUGCUAUUACUUGUCUUGCUCUCCUAUUGUUACUUGUCUUGCUCUGCUACUACUGUCGCUUGCUACUGUUGCUACUUGCUACUGCUGUCACUACUGUUGUUCCUUGCCACUGCUAUUACUCGUUACACUGCUGCUACCUGCUACAAUACUUUUUCUCAGGCCGUUGACGGGAAAGAAUAUUUUCCGUCCACGGGCAAUUUCUGGCGCCUUUGAUACAAUUGUUAGGAAUAGUCUGCCGUCAACAGAUCGUUUCUAACACCGUUGUUAUCAUACUACUUUGCUGUUACUACUUUGCUUGCAGAUACUAAUCUUUCAGGUGUGGUUGAAUCUGACACAUUCAGCUGCUAAUACUUGAGAGUAUCCUCUCACCUCCUGCCUAGCGAUCAACAAAUUUGGGUCGAAUACUCUACCCUCGAAAACUGCCGCGUUCCACGCGCUGGUGGGCCGUCAACAACAUUNNNNNNNNNNNNNNNNNNNNNNNNNNNNNNNNNNNNNNNNNNNNNNNNNNNNNNNNNNNNNNNNNNNNNNNNNNNNNNNNNNNNNNNNNNNNNNNNNNNNNNNNNNNNNNNNNNNNNNNNNNNNNNNNNNNNNNNNNNNNNNNNNNNNNNNNNNNNNNNNNNNNNNNNNNNNNNNNNNNNNNNNNNNNNNNNNNNNNNNNNNNNNNNNNNNNNNNNNNNNNNNNNNNNNNNNNNNNNNNNNNNNNNNNNNNNNNNNNNNNNNNNNNNNNNNNNNNNNNNNNNNNNNNNNNNNNNNNNNNNNNNNNNNNNNNNNNNNNNNNNNNNNNNNNNNNNNNNNNNNNNNNNNNNNNNNNNNNNNNNNNNNNNNNNAUCGUCACCGGCGUGACACCAUGAUCUCCAUCAUCAUGUCUCCGUGAAGUCGUCACGCCAACUACUACUAUCACUACUACUAUAGCUAACCGUUAGCAAUGAAGUAAAAAUAGUAAGCACAUGGCGUUGCAUCUCAUACAAUAAAUUAAGACAACUCCUAUGGCUCCUGCCGGUUGUCAUACUCAUCGACAUGCAAGUCGUGAAACCUAUUACAAUAAAAUGAUCGUCUCAUACAUCAUACAUGCAACAUCACAACUUUGGCCAUAUCACAUCACAUGCCAAACCCUGCAAAAACAAGUUAGACGUCCUCUAAUUGUUGUUGCAAGUUUUAGUGGCUGAUUUGGGUUUCUAGCAAGAACGCCUUCUUACCUACGUGACAGCCACAACGAUGAUAUGCCAAAGCUAUUUACCCUUCAUAAGGACCCUUUUCAUCAAAUCCAAUCCGACUAGAGUAGGAGAGACAGACACCCGCUAGCCACCUUUAUGCACGGUGUGCAUGUCUGUCGGUGGAACCAGUCUCACGUAAGCGUACGUGUAAAGUCGGUCCGGGCCGCUUCAUCCCACAAUACCACCGGAAAAGAAUAAGACUAGUAGCAUCAAGCAAAUUGACAAAUCAUCGCCCACAACUUUUGUGUUCUACUCGUGCAUAGAAUCUACGCAUAGAAAACUUGGCUCGGAUGUCACUGUUGGGUAACGUAGCAUAAAUUCAAAAUUUUCCUACGCAUAUUCAGAUCUUCCUAUGGAGAGACCAGCAACGAGAGAGGGGUAAGAUCAUCUUCAUACCUUUGAAGAUUGCUAAGCGGAAGCGUUGCUGGAACGCGGUUGAUGGAGUCGUACUCGCAGCGAUUCCGAUCUAGUGCUAAACUACGGCACCUCCGCGUUCAACACACGUGCAACCCGGUGACGUCUCCCGCACCUUGAUCCAGCAAGGAGGAGGGAGAGGUUGGGGAAGAACUCUAGCAGCACGACGGCGUGGUGUCGAUGGAGAGACGAGGUCUCCCGGCAGGGCUUCGCCAAGCACCGGCACACUGGAGGAGAAAGAAGAGCAGGGCUGCGCCGAGGGAGAGGGAAAAGUGUGUCUCUCAAUGGCCAAAACCCCUCUCUAUUGAUAGGAGGAGGGGGGAGGGAUGCGCCACCCCUAGGGUUCCCUCCCUAGGGGCCGGCGGCCACCAGAUGGGAGAGGGGGGCGGCGACUAGGGUGGGAGGGGGUGUGGCGCACCACCUGGUGGGCCUAAGGCCCACCUGCGCCUAGGGUUGCCCCCUCUCCCCACCACUUGCGCAUUGGGUUGGGUGUGGGAGGCAUACCAUCCCACCUAGGGGCUGGUUCCCUCCAACACUUAGCCCAUCUAGCCUCUCGGGGUCGUUGCCCCCCUUCGGUGGACCCCCGGGGCCAUCUCCGGUGGUCCCGGUGGUCCCGGUACGUUACCGGUGACGCCCGAAACACUUCUAGUGUCCGAAACCAUCCGUCCUAUAUAUCAAUCUUUACCUCCGGACCAUUCUCGAGCUCCUUGUGACGUCCGGGAUCUCAUCCGAGACUUCGAACAACUUUCGGUAACCUCGUAUAACAAUUCCCUAUAACCCUAGCGUCAUCGAACCUUAAGUGUGUAGACCCUACGGGUUCGGGAGACAGGCAGACAUGACCGAGACACCUCUCUGGCCAAUAACCAUCAGCGGGGUCUGGAUACCCAUGGUGGCUCCCACUUGCUCCACGAUGAUCUCAUCGGAUGAACCACGAUGUCAAGGAUUCAAUCAAUCCCGUAUACGAUUCCCUUUGUUUGUCGGUAUAGAACUUGCCCGAGAUUCGAUCGUCGGUAUACCUAUACCUUGUUCAAUCUCGUUACCGGUAAGUCUCUUUACUCGUUCCGUAGCACGUCAUCGUGUGACUAACUCCUUAGUCACAUUGAGCUCAUGAUGAUGUUCUACCGAGUGGGCCCAGAGAUACCUCUCCGUCACACGGAGUGACAAAUCCCGAUCUCGAUUCGUACCAACCCAACAGACACUUUCGGAGGUACCCGUAGUGCACCUUUAUAGUCACCCAGUUACGUUGUGACGUUUGAUACACCCAAAGCACUCCUACGGUAUCCGGGAGUUGCACAAUCUCACGGUCGAAGGAAAAGAUACUUGACAUUAGAAAAGCUUUAGCAUACGAACAAUACGAUCUAGUGCUAUGCUUAGGAUUGGGUCUUGUCCAUCACAUCAUUCUCCCAAUGAUGUGAUCCCGUUAUCAAUGACAUCUAAUGCCCAUGAUCAGGAAACCAUGAUCAUCUAUUGACUAACGAGCUAGCCAACUAGAGGCUUGCUAGGGACACAUUGUGAUCUAUUUAUUCACACAUGUAUUACUGUUUCCUGUUAAUACAAUUAUAGCAUGAAUAAUAGACGAUUAUCAUGAACAAGGAAAUAUGAUAAUAACCAUUUUAUUAUUGCCUCUAGGGCAUAUUUCCAACAGUCUCCCACUUGCACUAGAGUCAAUAAUCUAGUUACAUUGUGAUGUAUCGAACACCCAUAGCAUUAUGGUGUUGAUCAUGUUUUUCUCGUGGAAGAGGUUUAGUCAACGGGUCUGCAAUAUUCAGAUCCGUGUGUACUUUACAAAUAUCUAUCACUCCACUCUGGACAUGGUCCUGGAUGGAGUUGUAGCGGCGUUUGAUGUCCUUCGUCUUCCGGUGAAACCUGGGCUCCUUGGCUAUGGCAAUGGCCCCAGUGUUAUCGCAGAAGAGUGCCAUUGGACCCGACGCGCUUGGAACCACUCCAAGGUCGGUGAUGAGCUCCUUCAUCCAAAUUCCUUCAUGAGCUGCUUCUGAAGCAGCUAUGUACUCCGCUUCACAUGUAGAUGCUGCCACGACUUCUUGCUUGCUGCUGCACCAGCUCACUGCCCCACCAUCAACAGAUAUACUUAUCCGGUCUGUGACUUAGAGUCAUCCGGAUCUGUGUUGAAGCUAGCGUCGACGUAACCCUUUACGACGAGCUCUUCGUCACCUCCAUAAACGAGAAACAUUUCCUUAGUCCUUUUUAGGUACUUAAGGAUAUUCUUGACCGCUGUCCAGUGUUCCAUACUGGGAUCACUUUGGUACCUCCCUGCCAAACUUAUGGCAAGGUUUAUAUCAGGUCUGGUACACAGCAUGGCAUACAUUAGAGAGCCCACGGCUGAAACGUAGGGGACAGAACUCAUCUUCUCUCUAUCUGCUGCCGUGGUCGGCGACUGAGUCUUACUCAAUCUCAUACCUUGCAAAACUGGCAAGAACCCUUUCUUUGAGUUUUCCAUAUUGAACUUCUUAAAUAUCUUGUCAAGGUAUGUACUUUGCGGAAGUCCUAUGAGGCGUCUUGAUCUAUCUCUAUAGAUCUUGAUGCCUAAUAUGUAUGCAGCUUCUCCAAGGUCCUUCAUUGAAAAACUCUUGUUCAAAUAGGCCUUUAUGCUCUCCAACAUCUCUAUAUUAUUCCCCAUCAAUAAUAUGUCAUCCACAUACAGUAUGAGGAAAGCUACAGAGCUCCCACUCACUUUCUUGUACAGACAGGCUUCUCCGUAAACCUGUAUGAACCCAAACGCUUUAAUUACCUCACUAAAGCGAAUGUUCCAACUCCGAGAUGCUUGCACCAGCCCAUAGAUGGAGCGCUGGAGCUUGCACACUUUGUUAGCACCCUUAGGGUCGACAAAACCUUCUGGUUGCAUCAUAUACAACUCUUCCUUAAGGUUCCCGUUAAGGAACACUGUUUUGACGUCCAUUUGCCAAAUUUCAUAAUCAUAAAAGGCGGCAAUUGCUAACAUGAUUCGGACUGAUUUCAGCUUCGCUACGGGAGAGAAAGUCUCUUAGUAGUCAACUCCUUGAAUUUGUCGAAGCCCCUUUGCGACAAGUCGAGCUUUGUAAACGGUUACAUUACCGUUUGCAUCAGUCUUCUUCUUGAAGAUCCAUUUAUUUUCUAUGGCUCGCCGGUCAUCGGGCAAGUCCACCAAAGUCCAUACUUAGUUCUCAUACAUGGAUCCUAUCUCGGAUUUCAUAGCCUCAAGCCAUUUGUUGGAAUCCGGGCCCGCCAUCGCUUCUUCAUAGUUCGAAGGUUCACUGUUGUCUACCAACAUGAUUUCCAUCACAGGGUUGCCGUACCACUCUGGUGCGGAGCGUGCCCUUGUGGACCUUCGCGGUUCAGUAGUAACUUGAUCCGAAGCUUCAUGAUCAUCAUCAUUAACUUCCUCUUCAGUCGGUGUAGGCGCCACAGGAACAACUUUCCGCGCUGCGCUACUAUCCUGUUCGAAAGGGGGUGUAAUUACCUCAUCAAGUUCUACCUUCCUCCCACUUACUUCUUUCGAGAGAAACUCGUUCUCUAGAAAGGAUCCGUUCUUGGCAACAAAGGUUUUACCUUCGGAUCUAAGAUAGAAGGUAUACCCAAUAGUUUCCUUAGGGUAUCCUAUGAAUACGCAUUUCUCUGCUUUGGGUUCGAGCUUUUCUGGUUGAAGUUUCUUCAAAUAAGCAUCGCAGCCCCAAACUUUAAGAAACGACAACUUAGGUUUCUUGCCAAACCAUAGUUCAUACGGUGUCGUCUCAACGGAUUUAGACGGUGCCCUAUUUAAAGUGAAUGCUGCAGUUUCUAAUGCGUAUCCCCAAAAUGAUAGCGGUAAGUCGGUAAGAGACAUCAUAGAUCGUACCAUAUCUAAUAAAGUGUGAUUACGAUGUUCAGACACUCCGUUGCGUUGCGGUGUGCCAGGCGGCGUCAGUUGUGAAACGAUUCCACACUUCCUUAGGUGUGUGCCAAACUCGUGACUCAAAUAUUCUCCUCCACGAUCAGAUCGUAGACAUUUGAUUUUUCUGUCACGUUGAUUCUCAACCUCACUCUGAAAUUCCUUGAACUUUUCAAACGUCUCAGAUUUGUGCUUCAUCAAGUAGAUAUACCCAUACCUACUCAAAUGAUCGGUGAGAGUGAGAACAUAAUGAUAACCACCACGAGCUUCAACGUUCAUUGGACCACACACAUCAGUAUGUAUUAUUUCCAAUAAGUCGGUUGCUCUCUCCAUUAUUCCUGAGAAUGGAGUCUUAGUCAUCUUGCCCAUGAGGCACGGUUCGCAUGUGUCAAAUGAUUCAGAGUCAAGAGACUCUAAUAGUCCAUCAGUAUGGAGCUUCUUCAUGCGCUUAACGCCGAUAUGACCAAGGCGGCAGUGCCACAAGUAUGUGGGACUAUCAUUAUCAACUUUACAUCUUUUGGUACUCACACUAUGAAUAUGUGUAACAUCACGAUUGAGAUUCAUCAAGAAUAAACCAUUCACCAGCGGAGCAUGACCAUAAAACAUAUCACUCAUAUAAAUAGAACAACCAUUAUUCUCUGACUUAAAUGAGUAGCCGUCUCGCAUUAAGCAAGACCCUGAUACAAUGUUCAUGCUUAAAGCUAGUACUAAAUAACAAUUAUUAAGGUUUAAAACUAAUCCUGACGGUAGAUGUAGAGGUAGCGUGCCGACGGCGAUCACAUCGACCUUUGAACCAUUCCCGACGCGCAUCGUCACCUCGUCCUUGGCCAGUCUCCGCUUAUUCCGCAGUUCGUGCUUUGUUGCAAAUGUGAGCAACAGCACCGGUAUCAAAUACCCAGGAGCUACUACGAGCGCUGGUAAGGUACACAUCAAUAACAUGUAUAUCACAUAUACCUUUAACGUUGCCGGCCUUCUUGUCCGCUAAGUAUUUGGGGCAGUUCCGCUUCCAGUGACCCUUUCCCUUGCAAUAGAAGCACUCAGUCUCAGGCUUGGGUCCGUUCUUUUUCUUCUUCCCGGCAUCUGGCUUACCGGGCGCGGCAACAGUUUUGUCGUCUUUCUUGAAGUUCUUCUUACCCUUGCCUUUCUUGAAACUAGUGGUCUUGUUGACCAUCAACACUUGAUGCUCUUUCUUGAUUUCUACUUCUGCAGACUUGAGCAUCGAGUACAACUCGGGAAUGGUCUUCUCCAUGCCUUGCAUGUUGUAGUUAAGCACAAAUCCUUUGUAGCUUGGUGGGAGAGACUGGAGGAUUCUGUCAAUUAUAGCAUCAUGCGGAAGUUCGACUCCAAGUGAAGUCAGACGACCGUGUAACCCAGAUAUUUUGAGUAUGUGCUCACUGACAGAACUGAUCUCCUCCAUCUUGCAGCUAAAGAACUUGUCGGAGACUUCAUAUCUCUCGACACGGGCAUGAGCUUGAAAAACUAGCUUCAGCUCCUGGAACAUCUCAUAUGCCCCGUGUUGCUCAAAACGCCUUUGGAGCCCCGUUUCUAAACUGUAUAACAUGCCACACCUAACCAGAGAGUAGUCAUCACUCCGCGUUUGCCAAACGUUCAGAAUGUCCUGGGCUGCUGCGGGAGUGGGGGGGUCACCUAGCGGCGCAUUAAGGACAUAAGCCUUUUUAGCUUCUUCAAGGAUGAGCUUCAAGUUGCGAACCGAGUCCGCAUAGUUGCUACCAUCAUCUUUCAGCUUGUUUUUCUCUAGGAAUGCGUUGAAAUUGAGGUUGACGUUGGCCAUCUACAAUAUUUAUAAAGACAACUUUUAGACUAAGUUCAUGACAAUUAAGUUCAUUUAUUCAAAUUAAGUAUGAACUCCCACUUAAAUCGACAUCCCUCUAGUCAUCUAAGUGAUACAUGAUCCAUGUUGACUAACCCGUGUCCGAUCAUCACGUGAGACGGACUAGUCACCAUGGUGAGCAACUCCAUGCUGGUCGUAUUCAACCAUACGACUCAUGUUCGACCUUUCGGUCUCUUGUAUUCGAGGUCAUGUCUACAUGCUAAGCUCGUCGAGUCAACCUAGGUGUUUCGCGUGUGUAAAUCUGGCUUACACCCGUUGUAUGCGAACGUUAGAAUCUAUCACACCCGAUCAUCACGUGGUGCUUCGAGACAACGAACCUUCGCAGCGGUGCACACUUAGGGGAAUACGUUCUCGAAAUUUAAGAGUGAUCCUCUUAUUAUGCUACCGUCGUUCUAAGCAAUAAGAUUUAAAACAUGAUAAACAUCACAAUGCAAUCAUAUAGUGACAUGAUAUGGCCAUUAUCAUCUUUGCUCUUUCGAUCUCCAUCUUCAGGCAUCGCAUGAACAUCAUCGUCACCGGCGUGACACCAUGAUCUCCAUCAUCAUGUCUCCGUGAAGUCGUCACGCCAACUACUACUAUCACUACUACUAUAGCUAACCGUUAGCAAUGAAGUAAAAAUAGUAAGCACAUGGCGUUGCAUCUCAUACAAUAAAUUAAGACAACUCCUAUGGCUCCUGCCGGUUGUCAUACUCAUCGACAUGCAAGUCGUGAAACCUAUUACAAUAAAAUGAUCGUCUCAUACAUCAUACAUGCAACAUCACAACUUUGGCCAUAUCACAUCACAUGCCAAACCCUGCAAAAACAAGUUAGACGUCCUCUAAUUGUUGUUGCAAGUUUUAGUGGCUGAUUUGGGUUUCUAGCAAGAACGCCUUCUUACCUACGUGACAGCCACAACGAUGAUAUGCCAAAGCUAUUUACCCUUCAUAAGGACCCUUUUCAUCAAAUCCAAUCCGACUAGAGUAGGAGAGACAGACACCCGCUAGCCACCUUUAUGCACGGUGUGCAUGUCUGUCGGUGGAACCAGUCUCACGUAAGCGUACGUGUAAAGUCGGUCCGGGCCGCUUCAUCCCACAAUACCACCGGAAAAGAAUAAGACUAGUAGCAUCAAGCAAAUUGACAAAUCAUCGCCCACAACUUUUGUGUUCUACUCGUGCAUAGAAUCUACGCAUAGAAAACUUGGCUCGGAUGUCACUGUUGGGUAACGUAGCAUAAAUUCAAAAUUUUCCUACGCAUAUUCAGAUCUUCCUAUGGAGAGACCAGCAACGAGAGAGGGGUAAGAUCAUCUUCAUACCUUUGAAGAUUGCUAAGCGGAAGCGUUGCUGGAACGCGGUUGAUGGAGUCGUACUCGCAGCGAUUCCGAUCUAGUGCUAAACUACGGCACCUCCGCGUUCAACACACGUGCAACCCGGUGACGUCUCCCGCACCUUGAUCCAGCAAGGAGGAGGGAGAGGUUGGGGAAGAACUCUAGCAGCACGACGGCGUGGUGUCGAUGGAGAGACGAGGUCUCCCGGCAGGGCUUCGCCAAGCACCGGCACACUGGAGGAGAAAGAAGAGCAGGGCUGCGCCGAGGGAGAGGGAAAAGUGUGUCUCUCAAUGGCCAAAACCCCUCUCUAUUGAUAGGAGGAGGGGGGAGGGAUGCGCCACCCCUAGGGUUCCCUCCCUAGGGGCCGGCGGCCACCAGAUGGGAGAGGGGGGCGGCGACUAGGGUGGGAGGGGGUGUGGCGCACCACCUGGUGGGCCUAAGGCCCACCUGCGCCUAGGGUUGCCCCCUCUCCCCACCACUUGCGCAUUGGGUUGGGUGUGGGAGGCAUACCAUCCCACCUAGGGGCUGGUUCCCUCCAACACUUAGCCCAUCUAGCCUCUCGGGGUCGUUGCCCCCCUUCGGUGGACCCCCGGGGCCAUCUCCGGUGGUCCCGGUGGUCCCGGUACGUUACCGGUGACGCCCGAAACACUUCUAGUGUCCGAAACCAUCCGUCCUAUAUAUCAAUCUUUACCUCCGGACCAUUCUCGAGCUCCUUGUGACGUCCGGGAUCUCAUCCGAGACUUCGAACAACUUUCGGUAACCUCGUAUAACAAUUCCCUAUAACCCUAGCGUCAUCGAACCUUAAGUGUGUAGACCCUACGGGUUCGGGAGACAGGCAGACAUGACCGAGACACCUCUCUGGCCAAUAACCAUCAGCGGGGUCUGGAUACCCAUGGUGGCUCCCACUUGCUCCACGAUGAUCUCAUCGGAUGAACCACGAUGUCGAGGAUUCAAUCAAUCCCGUAUACGAUUCCCUUUGUUUGUCGGUAUAGAACUUGCCCGAGAUUCGAUCGUCGGUAUACCUAUACCUUGUUCAAUCUCGUUACCGGUAAGUCUCUUUACUCGUUCCGUAGCACGUCAUCGUGUGACUAACUCCUUAGUCACAUUGAGCUCAUGAUGAUGUUCUACCGAGUGGGCCCAGAGAUACCUCUCCGUCACACGGAGUGACAAAUCCCGAUCUCGAUUCGUACCAACCCAACAGACACUUUCGGAGGUACCCGUAGUGCACCUUUAUAGUCACCCAGUUACGUUGUGACGUUUGAUACACCCAAAGCACUCCUACGGUAUCCGGGAGUUGCACAAUCUCACGGUCGAAGGAAAAGAUACUUGACAUUAGAAAAGCUUUAGCAUACGAACAAUACGAUCUAGUGCUAUGCUUAGGAUUGGGUCUUGUCCAUCACAUCAUUCUCCCAAUGAUGUGAUCCCGUUAUCAAUGACAUCUAAUGCCCAUGAUCAGGAAACCAUGAUCAUCUAUUGACUAACGAGCUAGCCAACUAGAGGCUUGCUAGGGACACAUUGUGAUCUAUUUAUUCACACAUGUAUUACUGUUUCCUGUUAAUACAAUUAUAGCAUGAACAAUAGACGAUUAUCAUGAACAAGGAAAUAUGAUAAAAACCAUUUUAUUAUUGCCUCUAGGGCAUAUUUCCAACAACUAGGGCCUGAGUGCCAUGAUUUCAGAUCUAAAAUUAUUAUGUUGUCACCAAUAUAUGUGUGUUUUAGAUCCGAUCUUGCAAGUUGUAGUUACCUACUAUGUGUUAUGAUCCGGCAACCCCGGAGUGACAAUAACCGGAACCACUCCCGGUGAUGACCAUAGUUUGAGGAGUUCAUGUGUUCACCAAGUGCUAAUGCGUUCGUCUGGUUCUUUAUUAAAAGGAGAACCUUAAUAUCCCGUAGUUUCCUUUUGGACCCCGCUGCCACGGGAGGGAUGGACAAUAGAUGUCAUGCAAAUUAUUUUCCCUAAGCAUGUAUGACGACACACGGAAUGCAUGCCUACAUCACAUUGACGAACGGGAGCUAGCCACAUAUCUCUCCGUGUUAUAACUGUUGCAUGAUGAAUAUCAUCCAAACAAAUCACCGACCCAUUGCCUACGAGUUUGUCCUACUGCUGCUAUUACUUGUCUUGCUCUCCUAUUGUUACUUGUCUUGCUCUGCUACUACUGUCGCUUGCUACUGUUGCUACUUGCUACUGCUGUCACUACUGUUGUUCCUUGCCACUGCUAUUACUCGUUACACUGCUGCUACCUGCUACAAUACUUUUUCUCAGGCCGUUGACGGGAAAGAAUAUUUUCCGUCCACGGGCAAUUUCUGGCGCCUUUGAUACAAUUGUUAGGAAUAGUCUGCCGUCAACAGAUCGUUUCUAACACCGUUGUUAUCAUACUACUUUGCUGUUACUACUUUGCUUGCAGAUACUAAUCUUUCAGGUGUGGUUGAAUCUGACACAUUCAGCUGCUAAUACUUGAGAGUAUCCUCUCACCUCCUGCCUAGCGAUCAACAAAUUUGGGUCGAAUACUCUACCCUCGAAAACUGCCGCGUUCCACGCGCUGGUGGGCCGUCAACAACAUUCUUCUAGUUUAGAUUGUCGGAGAGUGCUAGCAGCAUUCUUCUGGUGCCGUUGCAGGGGAAGGUUUGCUGUCACGGAGUCAUAGAUCAAUGAACUCCUUGCUCUUGUGCUUCUAAAGAUAGUCUCCUCAACACAAAAUCACUCUCUCGUCGAAUAUGCAUGGGUAAGAGAGAUUUUGAUUUGGUGGAAAACAGUUUCGGGAGGCUAUAUAUCAAGUUUCAAAUGGUUGGAUUGGAAUAUCUUGGUCUCAACACAUGAGUAGGUGGCUCUCUCUUACAAAAUGAAUCUGGCAAUGAAGUGUGUGUUCUGAGUGCUUCUCUCACGAGUGAGAGGUGGUGAAGGGGUAUAUAUAGGCAGCACACAAAAUCCAACCGUUACACCUAAAGUGGCAAACUCGGUGACACCGAAGUUACAAACUCAGUGGUACGGAUUAGCACAAAGGGCAGAACUUCUGAAUCUCGGUGAGACAAAUAUACACAACUCGGUGGCACCAAAAAGUUGGCUAACAGUCAUAUGCCCAAACUCGGUGGCAGCGAUACUCAAACUCGGAAAUUCCGAUUUUGUCUACCGAUGCAACAGAAUGUUGGUCGCACUGAACUCGGUAGCACCGAUAUGGAUUCGGUUGCACGGAUUUGGUGGGAAUGGAAAGAGUUUAUGUGUGAGUUCAAACUCGGUGGGUCCAAAAUGUGAAAGUUGGUGACACCAAACUUGAGUAUGUGGAAUUUGACAGCAUGGAUAUGUGGGAAAAUGACUGAGUAUUUUGGUGACUAACUUUGAGCACUUUGAGCAAUCAGUUCAUUUUACUACCUCACCCCCUUUUAAUAGUAUUGGCUUUUCUAUGGACUCAAAAAUGAUUUCUCACAAAUAUAAAAUGAAGAGUCUUCUAGCUUGAAGCUUGAGCCAGUAUUAUUCCUUUCUUGCAUCAAGGGGCAUCUCCACAUAAGCCUAUAGCCAUAGCAUCUUUUGAACUUUUCUAAAAUAUACUUAGAAAACAUAUUAGUCCAAUGAUGCAUAUGUGUGAUCAAUUAUCAAAACCACCCUAGGGAGCAAUUGUGCUUUCAGCCUCGUGAGGUAUCCUCAAACACUCCUCGUUGUGAUGCCUUCCUCGCGCCCUCCCCGUCAUCUGAUCUUCCCACGCGCUCCACACCGCGUCUAUUUCCUCAGGGUCCAUGGCACAUGUCACCUAAAUCCGAUAAAUCUCUAGGUAGAGGGUCCCAAGCUAGAUGUCUUGGAACGGUGGUAAUAGUGACACAAAAUUUAACUAUGAGCAAUCAACUACUAUCAGAGAGUACAACUUAUACAACAUGGGAAAUACACUUCACGUAUAAGAAAAAUGUGACCAAAACCUAUCUCUACGAUAUCUAGUGUCAAAAAAUCUAUCCAGGGGCACAAUGGUGAAAAAUAGUCAGAAUUUGAGUGCCCGUUUUAAAUAUAUUUUAGUUUAAAAUUUAAAAAUCCAAACUAGUUACAAACAACGGCAUGUCCAUCUCCUACUAGUGGGAAAAUCUUACGAGAUGACCCCAACACAUUUUGGAGGGAAUGACCCUAGCACCAUGAAGCGACCACAUAACAUAACUACAGCGCAUCGUGCCCUUGGUCAGUGAUUACAAAAAACUAAUAUGAAAGGAAAUAGGAAUUAUAAACCCAUAAACCUUCCUUUAUUAGGUCGGCCGGAUUAGCGUUGGCUAACAAAGUCUCCUUCAAUGUGGCGAGUCGAAACAAAAUAGAGCGCUACAAUUGGCAUUUUUGAUAGUUGGAUUGUUCACACAUCUCAUGCCAUCUGUCUUCCUGCAUUUUGUAGACAUUUUUAAAUUCAUUAUUUUUUAAAUAAGUGAACAUUAUGCAAUGUUUGUGAAUUUUUUAAUCCACAAACCAGAUUUUGCCGCACGAUUUAAAAAAUAAAAGAUUGUGGCUGGUAUUUAGAGCUCGAGCAACAAAGCAAAAGGAAAGCCGAAAAUAAACAAAGUAAGAAUGGGACCAGGCAGCGAGCGGGCAUGCGAGAGGAAGUUGGUGCUACUAAGCAGGCGCUCAUGAGUUAUUAGGGGCGAAUGGCCCCAUAAAAUAUGAAGUAGGAGCUUCCCUUCAAUAUGGGAGUCCUAUUCUCCACGUACAACGGGGGAUACCCAUGUAUCACAAGAUGUUGAUUUACCUCGCUUCUAACGAGACCGAGUGAAACGUCAUCCAAAUACAAUCACGAAAUGGGCUGGCCCGGGUGCCCGGGAGGCCUUCGCCUUGCAUUUUUAGGUUUUUAUUUUGGUUUUAUUUUAACUUUUUUAUUUUUUUUACAAUUCCAAAUUAUGUAAAUAUACUAAAAACUAAUUCUGUAAAAUAUUUGAAAAGAAUGUUAACAAUGCAUUUUACUAAUAUUAAAUGUGUAUAGAGAAAAUGUUUCUUAUGUAUAUAAAAAAUACAAUUUAUGUGAAAAAAUUGACCAUGUAUUUUCAAAAUAUUAAUAAAGCAUUUGAAAAGUAAAUUGUAUUUUAUUUUUUAAUCAACCAUUUGGAAAAAGUUCAAUAUGUAUAAAAAAGUGUUGACCAUAUAUUCCAGAAAUGUUAAUCUUGUAUUUGAAAAAUGUUAAUCAAAUGUUUAAAAAUAUUAAAUGUGUAUAGGAAAAAUGUUAACCAUGUAAUAAAAAUGUUAGUAUCCUAUUUGAAAAAUAUUAGCCAAGCAUUUUUUAAAUGUGUAUGAAAAACAUAUCUACCAUGUGUUCAAAAAAUAUUAAUCUUGUAUUCAAAAAAGUUAAAUGUGUAUUAGAAAUGUAUUAGAUAUGUACUCUAAAUAUGCAAUUUAUAUGGAAAAACGAAACAUCUAAAAUUAUUUUCUAAAAAUUAAAUCAUUUAUUUCANNNNNNNNNNNNNNNNNNNNNNNNNNNNNNNNNNNNNNNNNNNNNNNNNNNNNNNNNNNNNNNNNNNNNNNNNNNNNNNNNNNNNNNNNNNNNNNNNNNNNNNNNNNNNNNNNNNNNNNNNNNNNNNNNNNNNNNNNNNNNNNNNNNNNNNNNNNNNNNNNNNNNNNNNNNNNNNNNNNNNNNNNNNNNNNNNNNNNNNNNNNNNNNNNNNNNNNNNNNNNNNNNNNNNNNNNNNNNNNNNNNNNNNNNNNNNNNNNNNNNNNNNNNNNNNNNNNNNNNNNNNNNNNNNNNNNNNNNNNNNNNNNNNNNNNNNNNNNNNNNNNNNNNNNNNNNNNNNNNNNNNNNNNNNNNNNNNNNNNNNNNNNNNNNNNNNNNNNNNNNNNNNNNNNNNNNNNNNNNNNNNNNNNNNNNNNNNNNNNNNNNNNNNNNNNNNNNNNNNNNNNNNNNNNNNNNNNNAGGAAGAAGUAAACCGGACCGGUGCAACUAUUGUACAUGAAAGGAAAAUACAAUCCCUAGAAUGAGCUAGUGACCGAGCGAGGCAAGUAAAUGUGUUACUCGGCCGUCCAAUACGUGCGUACUCUUCACGCGAGACGAGAGUUACACUCAUUAUCACUGAGAUCAGGAUGCCAUCUAAGGUCAAGAUUUUCCUUUGGAGGUUAGCUAGACACUCUUUGCCAACCAUCGACGUUCUUGAGAAGAGGAACAUGUCUCCAUCUGAUGCUUGUGCACUAUGUGGUUGUCAGAAUUCAUGGCGCCACGCGCUUAUGGGCCGCAGUAUGGCUAGAUGUAUUUGGGCGCUCGCACAUGAGGCCCUAGUAGAGAGUAUCACCGAGAAUCAUGAGCCUAGUGCGAAAAAAUGGCUGUUUGAGCUUCAUGAGAAUCUAAGCAACGAUCAAUUCACAAGACUAGUAGUCACCCUUUGGUCCAUCUGGUAUGCACAGAAGAAGGCAAUAUAUGAGUUUGUAUAUCAAAGCCUGCAACAAACAGACUCUUUCAUCAAGUACUAUUUGCACAACCUAGGAGUAAGUGCAGCUCCAGAGAAAAAUCAACCAUCCAAUGCCCAAGUGGCUCCAGUGGAACGUGGAAGGUGGUUGCCACCUCCUACAAAUUCUUCAAAGUUUAAUGUUGGCGGUGCAGUCACAACAAACGGCCAGCGUGGAGCAGCCGCUGUCAUAUGCGGUGAUGAAACGGGCACGUACUUGGGAGCUUCAGCGGUACUAUUUCAUGUAUCCGACCCAACCAGGUUCGAGAAUUUUGCUGUCAGGGAAGCUCUUUCUUUAGGGGAAGACUUGAAUCUUUUUUUUUUUGAAACGGGCAAAAGAUUUGCCGUAUAUAUUAAUUAAAGAGUAAAUAUAAUGUUUUUAUUACAAGCCCGCAGACCACAAGGAUGUUGCUCUCCCGAAAUGAUGCUCCCUAACUUUUUGGCGUCGACGCUCACCCAAAGCCUAGCUUCAAUUUGGAUGUUGUUGAGCAAGAUUGUUGGUGGUGAGGACUUGAUGCGGAAGACCAUUGCGUUUCGUUCAUUCCACACAACCAUGAUAUUAGCAUGGUAAGGGGGGCUCAUGCCUUGCGAUUUGGCAUGGUGACGAUGGAGCGGUUAACCCACCAUUCUUUGAUCGAUUGCUCAAGAUGCCAUGUAAACGUGUCUAGGUACUCAAUAUGCAGCCAUUUAUUGACCAAAGUCCACAGGCAAAGAGUAAACCUACACUCGUAGAAGAGGUGAGCAUGUGUCUCUUACACUCUCUUGCAAAGGGGACAAAGGUCGCAAUUUGGCCACCCAUGCUUUGCCAAUCUGUCGGCAGUCCAAAUACUAUCUUGGAUAGCCAGCCACGUGAAGAACUUAACUUUAGGUGGUGCCCAGGCUUUCAACACCGCAUGUGGCAUCGAAGAGUAUGUGGUGCCCAAUAAUUGGGUCAAGUAAGCGGUGUCCGACAAGUAUUCUCCAUUCUUCACAUGCUUCCAGAUGAUCUCAUCCUCGACGCGCUCCUCAAUAUGGAAUCCAUUGAUGAGAUCCCAAAGAUUUGUGAAUUGCCAAAUGUGCUCAACGGUGAAGUUUAUUGUGACCUUGAUCUUAGAGAUCCAAGCAUCAUUGAGGAGUGCAUCCUUGACUUUUCAAUUUUUCCUCGUGGAAGCCUCGAAGAUAAGGGACGUGAUUUCCUUUGGCUUCCGGUCUUGUGACCAAGGAGCUUCCUAGAAGGGGGUUCUCGCCGCGUCACCAACCGUGAUUGUUGUGUGUGCGUAGAAGAGGUUUAGGUCCAUCUCGUCGUGAGGGUUUCCAAUGAAAUUGCACAUUCUCGUUGGUUCUUUCCACUCGAAGCAAGGACAUCUCAGUCUUAGGGCUCUUGCAAAUUUUGUUGUGUUAAGUAGUCCAAGACCCCCCCCCCCUCUCGAAAGGCCGGCAUACCAUGUCCCAGUUGACCUUGCACUUGGCACUAGUCAUCUUGUCUGCUCCAGACCAAAGGAAAGCCCUCUUAAAAUUUUUUUAUAUUUUGCAGGGUGCUCGGGGGACUCUCAAUGGCAUGAUACAGUAAACCAUUUGCGAUGCGAGAGAAGAUUUGACAAGCGUGGUGCGCCCAAUGGUGAUGAUGUUGUUACCCUCCCGAGGAAUGAGCUUGGCCGCCACCUUGUCCUCAAGAAAUUGAAAGUCCACUUUCUUGAGUUGCCACACAGAGAGUUGUAGGCCCAAAUAUCUCAUGAAAAAUAUGUCCUUGCCGCCGGUAAGCUUUGGGUGAUAUGCUCGAGGUUCAGGUGUGUAUAUUUGAUUGGAACGAUUGAGCUCUUGUUGAAGUUGGUUUGAAGACCUGUGACCUCAGCAAAGCCUUUGAGAAUGGCAGCAAGGUUAUCAAUGUCUUUUUUAAUGGACGACAUGAACACUCAACAUUGUCCGCAUAUAGGGAGGUUCGCAUAAUAGUGCCUCUAUCCCGAAUCAACGAUUAUAUGUUGCAUUAGACUGCUUGGGAGUCAUCAAUGAUAUCUACAAACGAGCUGGAGGAAGCAAUGGAGCAAUCAUAGCAGAAAUUGUUGAGCGGUCAACCUUUUUUCAGUCAUGUACUUCUGUUCAUGAGGGUAGGAGUUUAAUUUUCAAGCACACAAUCUCGCAAAAAUCACACGUAAUGUAGAUAUGGUUGGGUUCUCCCCCGGACCAGCUUGUACCCUUGAACAUUAUUCAAUAAAUAGAUGCGAGAUUUCUCAAAAUAUAUAUUUAUCAGUGUGAUAUAGCACUAGCAUUUUUUUAGAAUCAGCUCUACCGCAUAUCGCACACCCUUCAAUGGUGCCGCUACAUCAGUUGGCCCGCCCAACUAGCUGGGUCUUUCGGGUUCUGAGAACGUUCUAUCGCUUUUCUUUUCUUUUUCUCUUUGGAGUAAUUUUCAUUGUUUUUGUUCUUCUUUUAUUUUCGGUUGUACUUUUCCUUUUGUCAAUUUGUGAACAUUUUUAAGAACUUUUAUGGUUUUUAAAUGCUAGGACAUUUCUGUAAAUUCACAAAAUAAUUUUUGAAAUCCAAUGAUAUUUUUUGAAAUCACGAACAUUUUUGGAAAAUUCUCUAAAUAAUUUUUGAAAUCCAAGGCUAUAUUUUGAAAUCAUGAACAUUUAUCAAAAUGUGUUAACAUUUUUGAAUCCUAGAACAUUUUUUAAUAUUCAAGAAUUUUUCGUAUAUUUUCAAAUCCAUGAAUUUUUUUUGUUUGUGAUUUUUUAGUUUACAGAAAAAAAAUCAAAUUACCACCCUACGCAGGAAAUAGUAGCCCCCUGCAAUAGGCCACCUAUAGUGGGCAAUACACCUUUCUGCCCACGCCUUUGAGAUAGUUCAAUACUAAAAGUUGGCAUCAAAACAAUUAUGCUUUAAAAGUUUCAGAACUGUAUGGCCAUCAGAAGGUAAUUUUUGUAUCUAUUUUAUUUGUUAAGAAUUGAUUAUUGUAGAAAUUGUGGUUUUAUAAAUACGUUCAUGUAUUUUUUUAAAAAAAAUUAUGAAAUCUAGAACAUAUUUUAAAGAUGUUCAUUAAAAUGUAUUUACCUAUUUUGAGAAAGUUGUUCAUUCAUUUUUAGAAAUAUUGCCCUGUAUUAGAACAUAAUUUUUAGUAUGAAUUAGUUAUGAAGUUUUUAAAUUGACGAUCAAACGGUUAAGGAGCAAACGCAUAAGAACUGCAAAGAAGUUUGGACAGACCAUGUGAGUUUCUGGAAUUAGGAGUAAAACAGCCGAUGGGGACACAACUAGGGGCAUAAAACUAAUUAUCCCAUUUAAGAAUGCUUAAGGGAAUUUGGAAAAAGUUCAUGUAUUUUUACAAGAUAAUUCAUGUAUUUUGAAAAUAUGCUCAUAAAUUUUAAAAGUGUUCAUCUUUUAAAAAAUAGGCAUUUAAAUUUUGAAGAACUUUACUUGCUUUUAAUAAACAUACCACUGCAUUCUAAAGAAAAUUUGUCAUGUCAUGUAGAAAGAAUGUUCUUGGAAUUUGAAAAACUGUACACAUAUUUUAGAAUUACUCGUGUAUUUUUAUGAAUUAUACACAUGUUUCUAGGGAAUGUUUAUGUAACUCAAAUUGUAUUUUUUGUCCAAAAUUAUCUGUAUGCGAAAGUGCUAUCCAAUCAGUCUGUUGCAACAAAAUCAUUUCUACUUUUGGAAAGAGUGGAUGCCCUGUCAAGCUUGUCAAACCAAUCGAUUUGCACAAAUUUCGCUUUGUUUAUGCAAAAGUGCUAAGCAAUCAAUCUUUGUCUCUAGGAUUAGGUGAUCUUCGUGAGGUGAUAAAAGAGUCUGACUAAACAGAAAGUAUGAAUCUCCAUUAGGUUAUAAUCACCAUGUUAUUUUGUCUUCUUCACGUUGAUGCUGAUUCCAGAUGACAUGGAGAAAUACAUGGAUUUUUUAUUCUUGCGGCGAGGGACACGUGAAUUAACACUGACUCUACAUUCGUGCACUCGUCGUCUAAUUAAUCAGUUUUUGAUUUGGUAAGCAGAUUGCUCUGUAACAAAAUUUAUUGUAGGCAUGAACUCAGUUAUACUCCCCACAAAAACAAAAACUAAACUCAAGUAUACAAAACUUACAGCAAAGAAAAUCAGUAUCCGAAUUCGAACACACAUAUGCAAUUUGAUCCGAUAACAUUAUGAGAGCAAAUUUUGAGAUAGAUGGGCCACAAAAGUUUCAUGAGGACUGCAUCAUAAAGUGAAGUUACAAAUCCCCUGAAAGAAAAAAAAAAGGUGAAGUUACAAAUACAGGGCGCCGGUAGAAUUGAAACACACACACCGACACGCGACAAACACCGACGCAUGAGGUGUGGGAGCCACUGCAUGAACAGCAACCCCGCUUAUUCAGCACGCGGAAGAUAGCACGCAGAGAAAAUCACGCACAGGCGAGCACGAGACCGGGCCCACGUCCCAGCCUCUCUCGCUUAUGGAACACACGUAAGCACACGCACGCCGGCGGCCCGCGCGUCGGCGACGAUCUAGCCGAAGUGGUGGUGCUUCUUCUCGCCGCUGGCCUCCUUGGCCUCCUUGUGGUCCUGCUUCUUCUCGUGGUGCUCGUGGAAGACGAAGCCGCCGGCACCGACGGCCGCGGCGGCGGCCAGCUCCUCCUCGAUCUUGUGCUUGUGCGCGUGUUCCGGGUCCUUCUUCGCCUCGUGCUUCUCGUACUGCACGUGGACAAGCAGUUCAUUAGCCAAGCCCGGAAAGACAUGAACUACGUAUAUAUCUAUAUACGCGUAUGGGUAAAUAGUUACGAUGAGAGAGAGAGAGCGUACGAGGGCGAAGGCUCCGGCGGCGACGGCGCCCAUCUCGCCGAGGUGCUCCUUGUGCUUGUGGUGCUUCUCCUCCUUGGUGAUCCGCUCGUACUCGCCCUCGUUGCCGGUGCCGGUCACCACCGUCUCGGUCGAGUACCCGUACACGUCGGCGCCGCCAUCAGCGGCGGGCUGGAAGUCCUCGCCCUCCUUCUUGUGGUGGAACAGGUGGUGGUGGUGCUUCUCCUCCGCCAUGGCCGCCGGCUGAUCGAUUAACUAGCUUGUAUGUGUGCGUGUAUGUGACAGUGGGACAGCUUCUUAUCUGCUUGGUCUGUGUAGGCUUCCUACUGGCCGGGUUUUAUAGGCUGAGGCGACUGUUGGAAUGGACGGUGGAACUAACCGUUCCGUUCCACGGGUUAUGGAUACUGGAUCCAUCAAAUAUACAGUACGUAUGCAUACGAUUGUGAUCUGCUUUAUGUACGUGUCCCGGAGUCAUUGGAGGCUUGGAGCCCAAGCACUCAGGCAACCACAGGACAGGGGGCCACGUUCUGAUGGCCAACGGUGCAGCGCCCCACCACCUUCUUGGCACUUGGCAGAGUUGCAGCUUGGGGUAGCUUACAUGUGAGUAACAAAAGUUUAGAGAAGUGUCGGCAUGCACGGAUUGGCUGACGGUGAUGUGGCACCGCGCACGCCUUUCCCUGCUCCCCGCGUCCACUAUCCAGCAACCUUUACUCGUAUGUAAUUACGUGUGCGCAUUAUUACUUUUUCUUUUUUGAGAAGUACUCCGUAGUACUAUUUGUGAAAAGUAAAAACGAGAGAGAGGAUAAAAAUGAUGGAACCGUUGCUUUCAUUGAUGGAUUGGGAGUAUAUAUACCCCUGAUACAAGGCAGUUACAAAGAGGCAGUUGCUACUAGUAGCAACCGACAUAGCGGGGAUUAACCCUUUAAUUAAUCUAAUUAAUUUAUUUCUAACACUCCCCCUAAUCACUGCUUGUCUUGGAUAUUUAUUAUCUUGAUAAAGACUCCUCUUUGUAUGUGUCUUUAAGAAUGUCCAUCAUCUUCGUGAAAGCCUUUGUAUAAUCUUGAAAGUCUUCCCAAAAAACCCUGUGGGAAAAAAUAUGAGGAGAAUAGUGUAGGUAUGUUGCUAAAACUCCUUUAAACCCGGUGGGAAAAUAAUAAGGAGAAAAUAAUGCAACAUAUAAUGAUUAUUGUCUCUUGAUAACUCAAUCGAGAAAACCUUUGAAGAAGGAGAAAAAUCAAUUGUGAGUUUAGAGAACAAUUAAUAUGUCUUUAAUACUUUCUUUAAAAAAACCCAAUAGGGAAAAUAGAAAGUAUGGCAUAUGAUUUUGAUAAUAUAUUGCCUCAUUAAAAACCUUUUUAUGAGAAAACUGAUGCAAAACUCAUAAAGGAAAAGAGUACAAUUAUUAUCUGAUGAUAAUUAAUGGGUUAUGAGUCUAGGAAUUUCUCCCCCUGAAAUUUGCAAAUCUCGAAAACGUCUCAUACCAAUUCCAUGAAUAUAUUUCUGGAAUGUUGAAUUUGGUAAAGACUUUGUGAACAAAUCUGCUAGAUUGUCGCAUGAUUUGGUUUGCAAAAUAUCAAUUUCUCCAUCCUUUUGUAAUGCAUGAGGAUAGAAUAACUUAGGAGAAAUGUGUUUUGUGAUAUUACUUUUCACAUAACCCAUUUGCAUUUGAGCAAUGCAGGCUGCAUUAUCUUCAUAUAUAAUAGUUGGUGAUCC